rnacentral:lncRNA from 1 species
UGAUCUUGAGCGUGUAAGUGACCGUUAGAGAUCGACGUGCGAGAUUCAAAAGCAAGACACGUGGUUGUCUUCUAAGUGUCGAUCCAGCGUUCGACGGCUAACCGUCUGCGCGUCCGAAGCCCCUCAUUUUUGGACAGUGAGAGAGUCAACGGCUCUAAGCAAACACCUCUCACUCAUCUCCUUCAUAGAUUAACCAUUUUUGAGAGAUUGGGAGUGAUUCUAAGUGCAUUUGCUUGAGUGAUUGCAUCUAGUGGCAAUUAGGGAUCGAUUUGGCUGCGGUUUUCUUGUUACUCUUGGUGGUUGCCGCCACCUAGAUGGCUUAGAGCAGCGGAGGAGCAUUGGUAUGAGUUGGUGAUUGUUCGUGGCCAUCUCUUGAUGAUUGUGAGGGGUUUUGUACCUUUUCCGGCGGAGAGCCAAAAGGUAACUCUAGUGGAUUGAUCGUGUCAGUGAGCUACCUCACUUAUGGGUAGGUUCUUACGGUGUCCUAGUGAGGACGAGGUUCAUGCUACACCUUUUAGCCGUCAAACCACCAAGUGUUGGUCGACACAACGGGGACGUAGCGCGCCAGCAAGCAAGUGAACCUCGAAAGAAAAUUAUGUGUCUCUAUUGUAAUUGUUCAUUGGAUUUCUCCCGAUGAUUAGACUUCGUAUUAUUAUGAUUGGUUCAUUCCCUCUAUGUGGUGGUAUAAAGAUCAAAUCCUCUCUUUUUACUUUCCCACAAACUAGAGUAACUUACUUGUAUAUAAACUUUAGGUAGCUCUCUAGUACAAGUAGAUACAUAGUUCUUGUAUGCAUAGUGAUUAUAGCAACUAGAAUUGUUAUAUAGGUGGUUUACAACCCUUGUAGAGCUAAAGCAAAAUUGCAUUACGCCAUUUGUUGUACUAAUCAAAUUUCUCUAGUGGUUUGUAGAUUUUUAAAUAGGCUAUUCAUCCCUCCUCUAGCCAUAUUAGGACCUUUCACCUUAUCGAGGGAAAUCAUUUCGGUUUUCAAAGGAUGGACAAUAAGGUUUAGGACCAUUAGUUCCAAGCGUCGAAGGUGUUGGGUGACGUUCGGAUUAGUCAUUAGGACUUUGUUUUUCCUUUAGUCUACUAUUAAGGGAGGUGCAAAUGGAUAGCUUGACCCAGGUGAGUCUAAUGGUUUAGGUGUGGUGCACACUUAUCAAACUUAGCACUAGUUAGCUGCAAAUUGUCCCUAAGAUUGAUUGGAGUUAAAGUCAUUCAUAAAGGAGUUUGAAUUGGAAGUGAAUACAGUGUUUUUCUGUUGACCGGAUGCUAGAAGUGCAAGCACCGGACGCUGGGUGGUGCGUUCGGUCAGUACUAGGUUUUCCUAGAGUGACCAGACGCUACACAAUAAUGUGCACUGGACGCUCCGAUACUUGCACUGUAGCAGUCCCUCUGGUUGACUGAACCACCAGAUGUUGACCGCAAGUAGGAUCGAACACAGGUUGCAGCGUCCAGUCGCUACUCAAAGAGUUCUAGAAUGAGUUUUGAGCGACUGGACGCAUCUGGUGGCUAUAGACCGAACAUAGGCCUACGUUUGGUGCAACAUAAAGGGCACUUUGGCAGGUUGACAUACAAUAGCUGUUGGCUAGUAACCUGAUGUGUUCGGUGUGUGUCACCGGAGCGUCCCAUGCUCUUGAAAGUUGCUAUUUUGGAGGAUAAUAGUUGGAUUUGAGUGUUGGCUCUAUAAAUACAACUCUUACUCGUCCAUAACAACGCUCUUGCCUAUUUGUUCACCUGAAGCAACCAUUUGAGAGCAAGUGAGAUCAAGAGCCUGGCGUGGUGUUAUGAUUUGAUAAUCCAAGAUUAAUGACCUCAUUAGUGUAUAGGGAGUAGCAAGUGUGCAUCCACCAUUCUCAUUAGACUUGUUGUGGUCAAAUGAGAGUUUGUGGUUGUUACUCUUGGUGAUCGCCACCACCUAGAUGACUUGGUGGUGAUUGGGAGCUUAGUGAUCAUCUAAGGAGCUUGUGGAUGACCCAACUCAUCUUAUGAGUGGUUUUGGGGGAUUCACUGUGUCAGAGUGAGGAAGAAUCAGUCUGUAGAGAGCACUUGAUCCUUGCAGGAAUCAUGGGGAGCUACACCCUUGUGCGGAUGCUCCAAUAAGGACUAGUGGGGAAUGACGACUCUCCGAUACAUCAAAAAAAUAUCACGGCAUUCCUAUCCUCUUUACUUUGAGCAUUUACUUUCAAGCAUUUCAAUUCUUGUCUUUACAUUCCUAGAAUUGUCAUGCUAGUAUAGGAUUUGAACCAAGGGUGCAAACUUUUAUCUCUGUAAAAUUACUAGGAAACACACUUUAGGCACCGAGGGGUGAAAUGGGCUAGUAGGUUUUAAUUACCGCAUUAAAUUUUAGAAUUAGCCCAAUUCACUCUCCACUCUUGGCAUCUUGAUCCUUUAAGUUCCUUUAUUUACAAAGAACAUAAACUCAAGAUCAAGAUGAUGAUUUUAUUUCUCUCACUGGGACUGUUACAUUCCCACAUUCUUAAAAUCUAUACAAGCCUGGCUAGCUUCUAAUCUUGGUUAGCCUUAGUCUGCUCUUACCAAGCCGAUCUAUGGUUGUUUGGUUGUCUCCUCUUCUCCAAACUAGUAAAGUUACCUCAAUUCAUGUUGCUGUUUGGAAGCAGGGUGCAGGUAGACCUGGGUGGUAGAAUUGCAAGUUUGAGUUUGAUGAGGUAGCUUGUGGUUUGGCGGGCUACCGUAAGCCAUACCGUUAAUCAGUUUUUAAAUGUGCAUUUUUAUUAUGGCCAUUGACUAUAUAUGAGAUUAAGAAUGGCAGCGGGGCAGUUUCGGGUCGGAUAACCGCGGGUUUCGGUUCUCGCGGGUUCGAGUUUGGGGAUGAUUUUUUACCCACAGCUUUCGGGUUCGGUUUCGGGUUUGGGAUAUCCGUAAUAAGUCAUUAGAAUUAAUUUUCAUAUUUUAUAAUAUGAAAAUAAUAAUUUUUUACUUAGAUUAUUAAACUUAUUUUAAACUAACUCAUGAAAGUAUUUAUUUUUUAUUGCCUCUUGUUUAUACAUAUAAAUAUGUGUAUAUAUAUAUAUAUCAUGUAUAUAUAUUUAUAGAAAGUCCUUAUUGCUAUUAUUAUGUUGACAUAGAAAGCGGAUUUUGGGUAUCCAUUCGGGUUUCGGGUAUCCGCGGGUUUGGUUUUGGGAUGGGUUAUCACCUGAAUCGGUGUUGUUUUGGGUUUCGAUUUCGUGUUUUGGGUUCGGGUGUAUAUAGACUUCACUCGAUCCGAAUUCGCCCCGUUGCCAUCCUUAUGAGAUUGCUUAACCUAAGCUUGUUGUGUAAAUUGCACAAUGUUUUGUACUCCAAAUAAACACUCAAACACAGUUCACAGCAAUAUUCUGAACACGUCCUCCCCAAAAAAGGGGAUAUUCUAAAGACAAAAUAAAGAAACAAAAAAUGUUAUUACUUUUAAAUAUAUUUCCUUAAUCAAACUGCAUACCUUCUGUAAGGCACAAACGUGCAUAACAAUUAAAUAGCUCCCUAAUGAACUCAUGAGUAUACACUUCAGCGGAAUUUAUGCACCUUAGUUCCUAAUGUAGUAAUAAUAAACUUAAGAAUGAACACAAAUAUUGCCUAGAAAGUCAUGUUGACCUCUAGUUUCAAAUACACAUUGUUAUUGGCCUGUGUGUUGCAAACUAAGAAAUUGUUAGUAAAAGUUAGACAAAAUGAUAGGCUAAAAGCCUAAACAUUCUGUGCGACCUCAAAACUUAAUUAACCUAGAAAGGAUAGACUUGUGUAUCAACAACAAACUCACCUUCAGGUGGUAUCCUAGUUGGGAGGAGCAACUUAUUUUUUCUGGUGAAGUCAUUCAAACCAAUAAGUUUGCCAAUUCAGUUAGAUUUACCCAUGGAAAAAAAGCCCGCUAUUUUUGCCGCUAUAGCCCGAAAUAGCUUAAAAAAAUUGUACCGCUAUUUGCGUUCAUGUACAAUUUUGCCGCUAAAGUACGCUAAUUACGGUUUAUAAAACGGUAAACACCUUGGCCUUAGCUCGCUAUUUAAAACAUGGGAUUUACCUCAUCUCACAAUGGGCAAUGCUGGACUCUUCAUCCAUCUAUGGCCUGUGCUAAGGCCUAGACAGGGAUGCCUUUGUUGAUUGGCUCAAUAACCUCCAACUCAAUGCAGAUGAGAAUUGGAUGCUUGCAAGGGACUUCAACUUCUAUAGAUAUGGUUCCAGACAUAAAUAGAGACAGAGGAAAUAUGAAUGACAUUAUGAUCUUCAAUGAAAUCAUCAGCAAUUUGGGCUUGAUUGAGAUCCCUCUUAAAGGAAGGAAUUUUACAUGGAGCAACAUGCAUAGUGAUCCCCUUCUUGAGUAAAUUGAUUGGGUUUUCACAACCCCUGACUGGAUUUGUGACUUCCCUAAUACCUUACUUCUUCCAUUGGCCAUACCUACCGCAGAUCACAUUCCAUGCAAGAUCCAAGUUGGCACUUCAAUUCCAAAAGCCUAAAUUUUUAGGAUUGAAAAUUUUUGGGCAGAUCACCCUAGUCACCUUGAUUUAGUUAAAUCAGUGUGGAGCUCCAAUGUCCAUGCCUCACCAAUAGUGCAUCUAGAAUAACUGCUAAGUUCAGGCUACUCAGAGUUGCUUUAAAGAAGUGUGGAGUAAAGGUUUAUCUAACCUCAGCAACUUGAUAAAGUACUAUAACACUAUCCUAGAAACCUUAGACGCCUUAGAAGAGCAAAGGCCACUCUUCCUUGAAGAAUUCAACUUCAGAAAGAUCCUAAAAGAACAUAUUCUUAGACUUCUUAGAUAUCAGAAAGAAUAUUGGAAAAAGAGGUACACUAUUAGAUGGACAAAGUUUGGUGAUGAAAAUACUAGUUUCUUUCAUGAAGUAGUUACAGAAAGGUACAUGCUUAACACCAUCACCUCUCUUGAAACAGAUGAUGGAAGGACUAUUUGUGACCAUCAUGAGAAAGUUGCCUUGUUUUUGGAAGAAUACAAGCAAAGAAUGGGUUGUACCGCUAAACCAAUGACGCUCUAUAACUUGAGCCAGGUUGUUCAAACUAAGGAUAAUUUGGAGUCUCUGGCAAGGCCCUUCUCCAUUGAUGACAUUGAUAAAGUUAUCAAACAAAUGUCUACUAAUAAAGCUCCUAGCCCGGAUGGUUUCAAUGGAUUCUUCCUAAAAAAUUGUUGGAAUAUUAUCAAAGAAGAUUUGUACCAUCUUUGCUUUGAUUUCUUUAAUGGCUUGGAAUCCAUAAAAACUCCUUCAUCACCUUAAUUCCUAGGACAAACAACCCUACAGGUGUCAAUGAUUUUAGGCCUAUCUCUCUCUUAAAUUGUGCACUUAAAGUCAUCAUAAAGCUCAUCCCUCUCAUCCACACAAAUCAUAUAUGGGUUCAUCAAAUCCAUGACAAUUUUAGGAUUGCCUGACCUGGACUUAUAAGUACAUGUAUUAGUGCCAAUAGGCAAAAAAAGGAAAUUAUCAUUCUUAAACUCGACUUCACAAAAGCUUUUAACACUGUCAAAUAUAAUGUCAUUAUGCAAAUGAUGAUACAGCUUGGAUUUGAUAAUAAAUGGUGUGACUGGACUCAGAGAAUCUUGGAUUCUUGUUCCACCUCUAUUCUGCGCAAUGGAGUACCUGGAAGGCAUUUUCAAUGCAAGCGAGGCAUCAGGCAAGGAGAUCCCCUCUUCCCACUACUCUGUGUUAGUUGUUGAUCUUCUAUAGUGUAUCAUCAAUAAGGACCAUCAAGAUGGUUUGUUCGAGCUCCCAAUCCCCUCUUAUGAAACAACCCAAUACCCCAUUAUUCAAUGUGCCGAUGAUACUAUUCUUAUCAUGAAAGCUUCUCAACGAGAGCUCUUUAUCCUGAAGGGGCUCCUAGAAUCUUUCUCCCAGUGAACUGGUCUUCAAGAUAACUACAAGAAAUCAUGUCUAGUUCUUAUGAACCUCCUCCCUGCAAAGGCCCAACAACUUGCUGGUGUUUUUGGUUGCAAACUUGAAACUUUACCUUUCACUUAUCUAGGACUUCCAAUGGGCACCACUAAACCCAGAGUUGAUCAUUUUGGCUUCAUAAUGAACAAAGUGGAAAAGAAAACUUAUAGCUACUUCCAAUUUCCUUACUCAUGCUGGAAGACUUCAACUAGUGAACUCAGUCCUAUCCUCUUUGCCAACAUAUGCAAUGUGCACCCUACAACUCCCAGUGUCUGUACUUGAAUACAUUGACAGAGCUAGAAGACAUUUUCUGUGGAGAGGCUCUAACACUAAUGCGAAGAUGAAGCCUUUCGUUGCUUGGAAAAAAUGUUGUAAACCAUAAAAGAAAGGGGCCCUAGGCAUCAUCAACCUUAGAAGUUGAAAUUCUGCUUUGCUUAAGCAUUUGGACAAAUUCUACAACAAGAAGGAAAUUCCUUGGAUCAAGCUGAUUUGCUAUGCUCAUUACCCCAAUGGGGAGAUCCCCCAUGCCCCUAUUGAUAAAGGUUCUUUUUUAUGGAAAGAUAUUUUAAAGCCUUGCGAUCUCUUCAGAGUAUUGCCAACUAUAAACUAGGAGAUGGGUCAAUGGUUCUAUUUUGGUCAGAUCUCUGGAACGAUAAUGUUUUACAAAUCAAGUUUCCAAAGGCUAUUUUCCUUUGCAAAAAACAGGAAAAGGUAUCAGUGUCUGAAUUCUUAUUAAGCAACAACAUUGAAUUCCAGUUUCUCUUCCCCUAUUAGAGCAAGCUUAUCAAGAGUAUCAAGCCCUUUAAGAUUACAUUCAGACACUUCAAGUGCAAUCAAAUACUAAAGCUUCCUAGCAUUAUAUUUAGGGAAGCAGCCACUAUACAUCAACAAAGUUCUACAACUUUCCCUUCAAAAAAUGUGCAGCCCCCAACUCCUUUUAUCUGGAUUUGGGACUCUAAAUGUUCCAACAAACUCAGAGUUUUUGCUUGGCUUCUUCUCAUGGAUAGGCUAAAUACAAGGAACAUUCUCAAAAGGAAAAGCACAAGCUAGAAGGCAGCAACUACAAUUGUGUCCUAUGCAAUAACAAUAUUGAAGAGACGGCUUUCCACCUGUUCUUUAGUUGCUCUUUCAGUCAGGCUUGCUGGAGAUUCCUGGGUAUUCAUUGGAACCUUACAAGUGCUUGUUUCAAAUGACAAUGCAAGCAAAGCAACAUCUUCGAAACCCAUUCUUCAUGGAGAUCUUCAUCAUUGAGAAGCAGAGAAGUAACUUUAUCUUUGAUAGAGGAUGCCCCUCCUUUAUCUCUUGGAAAACCUCGUUUCAUGAGGAAGCCAAACUUUAAGCCUUUAGACUUAGUAAAGAAAAACGACAUGCUUUUCUCCUCUGUUUAGACCCCCUCUCCUAGUUCCUUCUGCUGCUCUUGAGUGCAGCUUCUCCUGCCCUCUCUUGCAAGGUCUCCCCUGCUGUAUUUUUGGGUAAAAAAACACCAAACAAACAAACUCACCUGCAACUUGAGGAUGUCCUUCAGGAUCAUCGGGAAUACGUCAGUUUCCAAUUGCAUGAGAGGCUUUAGAUCUGGUAUAUGGGAGAAGAACAAGAAAUGUGCACCAGCAUUUACAUUUUCAAUUCCAGUUAAGUUGGUAACACAAGUAUCUUUUACUGAAUGAUCAAACGACAAUUGUAAACAUUCAGGAAGAAAAGAAACCAGAGAACGUCCAAUUGUCUUAAGUUUUUUUUUCCGGUCCUCUGCUGGCGUGGUUCUGAUGCUGAUGCUGCUGCAUCAUAGCGAGCUGAUGGUGCCCAUCCACCAUGUUCUGCAUGACACAUUGCAAUGUCAAUUGUAGUUUGAUCCCACCAACCAUACAUAUGCAGCAGAAAGUGCUUCACCGGCGGCCAAGGGGAUGAGGAGCGGCCCGGCUCGAGCAUGGCACCGGAGGAGGGAGGGAAGACGCACGGACCCGGAAGGACGGAAGGUGACGGUAACGGUAGCCAGGGCUGACCACGAGAAAACGAGAUGCUCCCGUGUUUCCACCGAGCGAGUGGUCGGUGGCUGAGUUGGACUCCCGUGUUUAUAUUAUCUUCCUUAACUUUCGGAAAAGACUAUUUUAAUCUUUCAAUUCUAAAAUCGAACAAAAACAUUUUUCUCAACUUUUAACAAGAUCCAAUGAAUAUUAAAUUUUCACUACAAUCUAAUCAUACAAUAAUUAAUCUAACAUAAAAAUUUCAUUAUAAAUAGACAAUAGAAAUCGUGUCAUAAAAUAUUCUAUUUAAUUAUAAAAAACAUAGAUCUAAAGGCACAACAAAAAUUUUGUAUUAAAGAUAUCAUAUUAUAUGUUUACUAUAUAGAUCUACUCAUGUAGAGUGCAACAAAUUUUGUAUUAAAAUAUACCAUAUUAUAUAUUCAUAAUGAUUUUUUAAAAAUUUAACUAAAAUAAUAAAAAAAGAUAAAGAUAAAAUCGCCUUGAAAACCGUUUAUAACCGGGUCACAGAGGUAAGGUUAGAUGAACGGUUUUCAAAAUUAGGAAGGUGUUUUAUCUGGUUUUGAAAUUUAGACUUCGUUCCUUUGCCUUAUAAGAGCAACCCCAACCGGGUCUCUACUGAAACCCCAAUAGCUAAAUAUGAGUGUUUAGGCUAAAAAUAUUACUCCAACAAGGCCUCUACUUCAGACCCCAUAUUUAGUUGGGCACCCAUAUCUCUCUCCCAGACCCUAUUCCUGUUGGCACAACAGGACAGCCACCAUCCUCCAUCGCGUGUCCUAGCCCUAGCGCAUGCUCUCUCUCUCUUCCCUUUUAUGUGUAUGACACCCUACGGUAACCGGCUCGAUGUUCUAAUUGUGUCCCUACCCAAAGGAAGAAGAAAGACGAAGAAGAAAAAGACAAUGACGAGUGGGUCCCUUCUGUCAUUCUCUCUGGAAUAGGUUUGGGGGCCCAAAUUUAGGUGCUACUGUUAGAGUUGAAGCAAAAAAGUUGAGCCCCAAAAAGUAGGGGGAGCACCCAAAUUUAAAGUAGAGGCCUAGUUUUGGGGGCUAGUGCUGCAGUUGCUCUAAGGGCAGCUCCAGUCGUGAGUCGACUUUUCAAUGAGAGAGAACACCACAUCAGUAGAGAGAAAGAGUCGACUCCUUCAGUACAAAAAAAGUGGGUCCACAUAAAAGAUUAAAAAAUGCAGCAACGCUGGUGAGGCCAGCGCACACGGACGGAUCUCGGACCACGCCAUGUCGAGAAGGAGGUCUGCAGCACCCAAAAUUCAUUUUUUUAUUGGCAAGAGUCGACUCACAAUCUUGCAUCGACUCAUUUUCUCUCUCUUCGACGAGUCGCCUUCUCCAGUGGUUGGGUCGACCCAUGGCUGUGCCAGCUAGGACGAUGAGUCGCUUUUGAUUCGCCACUGGAGAAGCCCUAAGCCGUAUUUUUCUGCCAGUCAGCAGUGUUUUUCUCUCUCGUAAUAAAUCAGCUAACAAUAUUUUCAACCAUGAUUUUUCAGAUCAACAAGCUUUUAGAGAGGAAAAGUGGACUUUCGUAAAAAUUAAAGGAGGUACCAUGGACUUUUUCUAAAAUUAGAUCUAGAUCUGUUUUGAUAGAGCCGCAGGUGGUAAAGCUCUUCUGACUAGACCCUCACUCUACACUACUUCAUCCGUCCCAAAAUAAUUAUAGUUUUAAAUUUUCAUGUUAAAAAUAUAACUAGAUUUUAUAUAAAAUAUGUGCAAUAUUUGUAUCUCUAAAUAAAUUUAUUAAAAAAUUUAAUUUAAAUAUCUUUUUGAUGAUUCUAAUGUAACAUAAUAUUAAAUAUUUUUAAAUAUAUAUUUAAUCAAAGUUGUUUUAUAGGAAACGAGAACCGUAAUUAUUUUAGUAUAAAGUGCAUUGUAGAGUUUAUUCUAGAAAAUUAGAGUAAUUAUUUCCAGUUAAAAAUCAGCUUCGAGAGAAUUUGGAGCUGUUUCUUAAACCAUAUUUUUUUCCAAUCCAUUCAUUGCUUUUAACGAGAAGACUGCCACGCCACCGGCUAUCCUCGUCGGCUCCUUCGCCUGGUCGUCGUCGGGCCCUUGGCCGGCGACGAACACCAAUCAGGUGUGCGCGCCCCCUUCUCUUCCCUUCCUUUUGUGCGAAACCGCGCUCCAAACCCUAUGUAUUCGGAUCUGUUCUAGUUACAAGUGUAUAUACAUGUAUGUAUUAUGCCUACUAAAUUCGAUUUUCUUGCAAAAAGAAAAACAUUGGCUCUACAUGUGUGCACCCUGAUUUUAGGCAUAUAAAACUCAAUUUACUUCAUGGUCUUCUGGAUCGAUGUUCGACUGUGGCAUGCUUUUGCAGCAAUUGUGUUUGAAUCUUAAUUCCAGAUUAAACUUUUUUUAGAAAACACGAAAGGAUGGCAUUGAAAUUUAAGGCACCUGGCUACAUUAUCCUGAAAGAGGAAGCAUGCUGCAACAAAGAUAAUGAUAGUGGUAAAGAUGGAUCACUUCCAAUAAGAAAUAGGUAUCCGCGGCAGCAUCCUAUCAUUUUUUUUGAUGUUAAUGAAGGAUACGAUAGGAAGAAGAUAAAUGAGGUAUGAUAACUAUCUAUCCGUGUGAUAUUUCACUCCUAUUUAUAUUUCUUCCCUUAGCACCUACUCUUGGCAUUCUCUUUCAGUUCCUGCUGCAAUGGUCUAUUCCUAUUGCCAAGUCCCGGCCAAAUGACAUAAUCAUCCCAGACCCUGCUCCCCAGGUUUGUUAUCUUCAUUACAGAAGUUGAUUGAACAUUCAUUCCAUUAUAUUAAUUAUUUCGUUUAAUCAUGUAAUAUUAUAGGAUAGUUAAAGUCUACUGUACAUUGUUGUCAUAUAAGAACCUUGCCUAGGAACAUGAAUCACAUGCCUGAACCAUGAUAGGCUUUAGAUCCCCUCGUAUUCUCUCUCUUCCCUUCUUGUUGCAUGUUGGGUUUCAUGGUUUUAUCAUUGCUGCUAUUCUUAUUGUCAUAUAUGCACCUCCAUGGACUUUAUCUUGAUGUGCUGUUUUAUUUGACAACUUUGUAAUUAGAGUUCAUUCUUCUAAACAUAUCUCUACAGAAAUAAACUUUGUAAAGACUUUCACAAGAUCACCAGUUGUUUUGCAGGCUGUCAGAAUCUAGUUGCAUAGAUUAGCAUGUCUUCUGUUUGCCUUUGAGGUUAAACUUAGCAUACUAAAUAUCAUAAGACUAUGCUUCCCCAAAAGUGCCGUGGUGUUAUGGCGGGUGGGCUGGUUCUGGCCCUGGACGUGCUGCAUCAGCAGCCUAGGAUUAGUUCACAGUUUUUUCGUUUGUUCAUGUUUGUUAGCAUAUAAGAUUCAUUAGUUACUAGGAUAAGAUUCUUAGUAGGUUUGUUGGGUGCUUUGUCUAUAAAGGUAUCCAUAGGUAGCUAGGGAAGGCAAGCAGAAAUAGAUCCAAGAAGCAGCUCAGAGCCUACACACUCCACAGCAAGGUUGCUUUUUUUUUUGCACAAGUCUGUUCAAUCUCUGACCUUGAUGUUUGCUCCACCGAAGCGGGUGCCCUCCUCAGUCUUAGCCGCAUCAUCUGCACCAUCAUCAUGAGAUCCGGCAGGCUGGAUUUUGAUUCAAACAAAAUGAAUGAAGAUAUUAUUCAAAAAAAUUUAGAACUAAAUACAACCCAUUUUAACUUGUUGUACUUCAUUCUUGGCAAACACACAGAAGUACGUGAGCUGAGAAUUGGGGUCAUGCGAAACCAGGUCCUAGCCGUUUCGAGUGCUAACAUAAAACGUGAAUCAUUCUGGUUCUUGCUUCGUAGGCUGGAAAUCUCAUUUGGUAUCGAUUCUUAGGUAUGCAAACACACCCUUAGCCUGCAAACUUCAGAUCCUGGGACUGGGAGCUCGUACCAUAAUUUGUCUGUGGGCCCAUACAUAUACAGUUCAUGAUCAACAUUUUUUGUGUGAUCUUCAUUUUCUAUCGUAUAGCCUGAAGAAUUUGACAGCUUUCUCUUUGAUAAUCCAGAGCAGAACAAUUGGUGAUUUUAAUGCUUGUUCCAUGCACUUUAUAGUCAAAUGCAUUUAUAAUAGCUGGGAGCAAGAAUAAAUGAACCAGUGUAAAGUCUACUUUAAAAUAUAGAAGUGCGAAGCCAUUCAUGACUUGUACCUUUGAAGCGUCUAGAUUAUAAUGUUUGAUUACAAAGCUUGUGGAAUCAAUAUAGAUGUAUAUAAAUUGUAUGUGAUUGUAUGUUUAGCUAUUUUUGUACACUGUUCUAUUGUCUUACAACUCAUAUUGUAUAAUUGCAAAUUUCUCGUUGAAACAAUUCUUUGCAUCAUAUAUCUCUUCUACCAUUGGUUAUAUGAGAUACAGUAGACCUAUGUUGAUGAUAUAUUGUCUUUUGUGUUUAUUUUUAUUCUACUUAUACAUCAGCUUGUAUGUCAUGCAGGUACCCCGUGUGGAGGUCUUGGAACAUGUUUCAUCUAUCCUCAAGGAAUAUGGGUUUAAUCCUACUGGAGAAAUCAUGGACACUAUAAACCUGUACUAGUCUUUAUGUUGUUUCACACACAAAAAUUCUAUGCAAACACAUGUUUAAUCUGCUGAUUUUUUUUUCUUCUUGAAGCCGGCCUUAUGACUGCAAAAUGUCAGACACAGAGACAUGCAACAAAGGUGCGCAGGCUCAAGUUAUUCUUUUUUACAUUUAACAAAAUGAGUCCUAACCUCUACUUUCUUUUUUCAUGGAGAGCAGGGCUUAUAAAUCCAAACAUGGCAGUUAUGGAAUCAGAUAAUCUGCACGCUGCAGAGGAAAAGGUAAAAAUAAUCGAGUAUUACUGUAUUGGAGCAUCAUUGUCUGCUUCUUGUCGUGCAAUGUCCCUAUUGUGAUAUCUAAGUACAUAAGAUGUUGUUCACACAAAUAGUAUUGUGUGCUACUGAUGCAGCCAAGCAGGGCAGUAGUCAGAUAAGCCACUUGCAUGAUUAGUUUGUUCUCAAGUUAUGUACUUAUAUUUGCUUGCUAGUUGUCGAUUGUUAUGGGCUGGUGCAUAUAAGGCACACCAAUCUCUCUUUGUUAGAAAGGCAAAGUUGUUCUCAACUUCCUAUCUCUAGUCUUCGAUUGGUCUCUACAUAUUUUUCUGUUUUGUACAUUUACAUGUUCAUGCAAACUAUUUUAUGCCAGGGUAUUGUUCUAGAACUUAUUGCCCUGUGAACAAAUCUGAAAGUAAUUGCUAAGUUAUAAACAAAAUGUCUUUGCUUUAGUUACAUUAUGAUAACAUCUAAUUUUCUUUCCUCUUUGGUGGAUGCAUAAUCUUGCGAUAACAGUGCUUGGUCUUGUUUCGGGUUAGAGUGAGGGUGUUCGCUAAUAUUGUGGCAGCAGAAGAACAAUAGCUAUAAGAAUUCUGCUGUUUACCUGUUUGAUUUUUUAAAGUUUUUAAAAUGGUCUAAAAUUCCCAAGUUGAGAAAUCUGUUUUUUAAUUGCACCAAAUACAGAUGGCCUACUGCAAUGCCACAGUAGUUCAAUUACGAUUGAACUCUUUCAUGCUAAUGUGGAGACCAGUGUGUUACCCAUCAGGUCAUUUACCAAGGAAAAUGAGUAACUGCAGCUACAAAAAAAAUGAUAUGAAAUGAUACAAGUUGUGAAAUUAAACUAGCGCUAGGCCAAAACUCUAUUGGCCUUGGCCAUAAUUAGCUUAGUAACAUAGCUGGACUGAGAUAUCAACACUGAACUCGAAAUAUGGGGCUUGCAUGUUAUUGUUAUUUCGACGGCCUUAGUAUUCUUGAACGAUUUGUUGCAUCUGAGGUUUGUUUGGUGCUUGUGAGAGAUUCUGAUAAGAAGUAGCAGUAUAAUAUCAUGUUUAGAGGCAAUAACAAUAUUAUGUUUCAUUUCUAUGCUUUUGCCGUACUUUGUGCUGGUUCAACAGCUUAUGAUGUUGCUUAAGCAUGCUACUUAAGUACUGCACUGUAGUAACAUAUCUAAAGGAAUAUCGUUAUUGGGUGUUGACAUACAUCUCAAGCGUGAGGUGCUGGCUAAUAUGCUGUUUCUGGUUUUCUGAAGCUGUACCUUUAUUGAAAUAUGUGACAGGCUGUGACAGCGACAAAGGAAGUAGGCAGAGGAUGGGAUCCAACAUAUAUGAGGAGAAGUUUUUUCCCAUAUUGGAGAUCAGUGUUACGAACCAGGUGUCGUUGGAGGUUGAUUCCAGCCUAUGCAGAGGGAUAUACUAGGCCUGUGCUUGAUCUUCAACAUUUCCGUGCCUCUCGGAGCAAGUCAUUGGCCAAUGGAUCUACUCCAACUCCAAAUCAUAAACUUGGUCUGGUGGGAAGAAUCUCACCACUUCCAAGCAAUCAACCCAGAAGGGCUUUUAGCACUGCUGCCAUUAGUGCAUUCAGGCUCUUGAAGAUGCUAAAGUAUGCAUGAGUAGAAAGGCACGUCACAAUUUUUGGCUCCCUACACCAAGUUUUCUAAACGUGUCCCACAAAUAAAUUGAAGGAAGGAAUUAUUAAGGAAACCACACACUUGUCUUUAAUUAGUAAGACUAUUCAUUGAUGUCUAUUAAAUACAUUAUACAUAUUAGGGCAGUCCCAACGGUAGAAACCAGACACAUAUUCCAUGAUACCACGUCAGCAAUAGAAACUAUCUCACACAAUGGAGAGUAUGUUCUAGUAAUAAAUAUUAGUUAUUUUUCUCUCUCUUAUCUCUUCCUUUCUACUCCAAGCAAAUCAGAUGGAGAAGGAGCACACAGCAACUGCUCGUUUAUCUUCAUUCUCCACCAACCAAAUCAGAUGAAGAAGUAGCACACAAGCGGGAAUGCAUGCAGAGCCAACAAGCGGAGGUGCGGGCGGGUGCACGGGCCACGCAGCGCUGACAAGCGCACGCGGGCAGCCGCAUGGGGCAGCCAGCACGCGAGCAUGUCGCCGGUGACCGCACGCGAGCGCAGACCCGGAGGACGGAGGCGCAGGCGGGCGCGUGAGUUACUGGGGGGCGAGCGCACAGCACGACGAGCGCGGUGGCGUCGAUGGCGAGCACGGCGCUGGACGGGCGAGCGAGCGCGCAAGAUGGCAUGGGCGAGCGGCGCCAGCGGACAAGUGCACACGACCGCGGAGGCCCGGGCGGGCGAGCGAGCGCACAGGACGGCCGGCGAGUCUGGACGAGCACGAAGAAGGAUCCGACGAGCACUUCCUGUUCCAUCUCGGGCUAGAAAUCACUGGUUUCUUCCCAACGGUGAGAUGGUCGUUUCUUCUCGCCUCGAUUCAAGAGUAGACGUGGUUUCUCUGGGAAGAAACGGUUUCUACUCCCUCCGUCGCUGAAAGAAUCAAUUUCUAGAGUUGUCCUAAGUCAAACUUUUUAAACUUUGACCAAAUUUCUAGAAAAAAAUGCUAAGAUUUAUAGUAUCAAAUUAGUAUUAUUAGAUUCAUCAUAAAAUAUAUUUUCAUAUAAUGUGUAUUUUAUAUUAUAGAUGUUGUUACUCUUUUCUAUAAAGUUAGUCAAACUUUAAAAAGUUUGACUGGCACGGAUUUUAGGAAUUGAUUCUUUCAGGGACGGAGACGGAGGGAGUAUUAUUUUUCUUCUUCUUCCUCAUUAAUCAGGCUGUCAUCUCAGCAUUUUUGCCUAGUUGGCAAGUUAUUAAAUGAAGAUAGAAAUCAUCAUUAAUAUUCAUUGGGACUGCUCUUAUAGCUACUAUAGGAGAUGGGAGCGGGCAGCGGGCCGUGGCCGUGCGAUUCUGGACGGCAGCUGCCGUGGAUCAGGUGUCUUGCAGUUGCAGGAGCACGGCGCGGCGCGCCCAGAGUGUCCAGCGCCAGCCGCCAGGUAGCCGAGGCGGCCAGGCCUGAGGGGCACCAGCGCGCCGCUGCGCCCGCUCCACAAUGGAGGCAGAGCAGAGGGGCACGGUUAGGGGGCUUUGGCCCUUGCGGCGGAGAACGGAGGCGGUCGAGGCGUGUCAGGUGAGGACGUGACAAUUACUAAUCCACUAGAAACUGAUGGCGCGGCAACUCCGCGCCCCUACUGUAUGUGGUCAGUGUAAUUAGAAAAUGAUUAUUUCUGGUAUCGAAUAGGUUUAGAGCCUCUCUGAAAGUCCACUAAAACUAAAUCUCCUGUUUUCUUAAAUAUAAAUCCACACUAAAUCGUUUUCUCCUAAUAAGGUACGGCAUCCCUUAAUCCUGAUAAAUUCCUCUUCUUUACAGCUAAUACAAGUCAGAGAAAUUAGCUACAGCCUUGCAUCUUCUUGCUAUUUGGUUCCCUCUGAGUUUUGCUCGUGAUGAGAUUUUGGCAUGCCAUUGUAUAACCUAUUUAGGAUUAUGCAUAAAAAGUUAUAACUUGACAUUGUGAGUCAUAAUUUAUGGGCUAUAAAAGCAUUUGAAACUUGGUUUAACAAAGAUUAUGUGUUGCUCGACAAUAAAUGUGUCUAAUCCACCUCCGGACCACAUGCAUGUAAGAAUUGCUUCCUGCGGCUUGUCAAGAUUUGUAUGGCCAUAUUCAGUAGUCUGCUCAAUCAAUAAGAGAGGCACCAGCUGCGUGUGUGUAUAUUAUUUUACACAAGCUAGCUAAUCCUCUAGGAAUGAGAUCCUCUGAAGUCUGUCUCCAUGACUGCUCCCAGCAGUCACUCAAUCGUUGCCGUUCAUUGUCAUCCAACGGAGCUGCUGAACCCAAGUAUUCUACUCGUUCUCAGCAUGGCCCGUCAAACGUAAAACGUAGCGGGUAGCACCUGCCGAGAGCUCUCCGCGAUAGGGGAAAUCGCCGCCACCUUCUUCUGUAUGAUCCAACGCCAUCGCCAUCCCGUCGCAGAGAGCCGCGCCAUCGCUAUCGCCUCGCCCAGAGCCACCCCGUCGCCGUCCCUUCGCUGCGGGCUCCCUCGUCGAGCGUCUCGGCGUCAUGGACGCUGCCAGCCUACAACGUUUCAACCUCGACCACGUCCUGCGCGCCUUCUACCCAUGCAGAACUCGACGACUUGCUGCAGACACGGCUGCUGACCUGCACGACACCGCCAAGCUCGGCAAAGAGAAGCGGAGCAGGUACAACUCGUGACAGGUGGUGCUCUCAAGGUAGACCACCAUGCUGUCGCCACAUGCGACGGCACGGUAGUCGUAGCAGAGAUUGUGACGGCGCGACGCUUACAGCUAAAUGCUGAGGUGGAGGAGAGAGAAGACGAGAGAUAGUAAAAGCGGGCUGCAAGUUUAUAGCCAGCUCAGACACAAAAACCAAAAAAAUCUGUGAGACAGACAAGUGGACUAUGUAUUAAUAAUGAUGAGAUAACCAUUAUAUGAGCGGGCUACAACAAGGCUGUAAAGAAAUCUUACAGCCAGCAGCUGGCUGUAUUAUAAUACUUGCUCUUAAAACGUUGUUCCACAUAACUGAAGACGCUAACGGCGAUUUCACCAUGGGUACAGGACCUUUCUCCUCCUCUUCUGCGAUGCUCCUUCUCUGGCGAUACGUGGCUCGGCAACGACGAAGACAAGGACAGAGGCGAGCUAGCAUGGUUGCUUUGGGCUGAGAUGGGCUAAGGCCCAACGCAUGGAAGCCUGAUGGGAGCCAUUAGCCGUUGUAUCUUUAGCGAAUGGUCAGAUGUCCAUGACUGCAGGGUGAAGUCAAUGAGAGUGACUGCAGAGGAUCUCAUUCCAAUCUUUCUACGGGAGCAUGCUGGACGUGAGUUGCGGUUAGCCGGCCAUGCAUGUACUGUACGUGUAUGUAUGAAUAACAAUACACGGCACCUUAGGGGGUGAUUGGUUGCCCCGACGGUGGCAUACUAGUGCUCAUCCGGUAUGACGCUGUGCACCUAGCCCGUGUUUGGUUCCUCAACUUGUAUCGUUUUGGUGUAUCUUCUCAUUCUCUUUUCCCCCUCCGUCCCGGCUGAGGCCGUCUUCUCGAGUCGAGCUUCCCUCGCCAUCCCGGACGGUGCGCUCCUUGGCGGGAAGGGGAGGCGCGAGCGCGGGAGAUUGGAGCGUCCCAGCGCGCGCGCGGGUGGGUGCUAGGGUUACCUCCCUCAUUUGGCGCCUCUCCUUCCUCUCCUCUUCCGGUGCGGUGAAUCUUCUUCCUCCUUCUCAGCCUCCCUCCGCCAUCAUCGUCGUCGAUCUCCGGCGGACCGUUGGUGGUCCUCCCUAGAUCGCGUCGGUAUACAAGUCACCUCCCCCUCCCCCUCCCCUCUCCCCGUGUAUGAGCUAGGGUUCUUGAUGUUACCCGUUUAGAUCUGUGCGAUGUUUGUGUAGAUCUACCAAUCAACUUGUGAUUUCACAUGUUUUACAUUCAGAUCUGUGCGGUGCUUGUGUAGAUCUACCAGUCAACUUGUGAUUUCACAUGUUUUACAUUCAGUCAACAUGUGGUGGUCUGCUCUUGCACUUGCACAUGAUGAUGCUUUGAUUUAUUACAAACUGAGCAAAGUGCCUAUGGUUGAUGAUGUGAAUGUAACUUUAGGCGCUGGAGGAGCACCUUUGAGUGUGGCAGCCGCGCCUUGUUUAUCUUGGGAUGCCUGAACUUUUGCUUGCAUCCUCUAAUCUGUACUGAUAAGUAGCAUUGGUGAAUUUCUAGGGCAACCAAUCACCCCCGUAAUAAGCACUGAGACCUAUGGCACUUUGCAAUGAUGUGUUCUUUCUUCUCUUACAUUUUUGUGCGGUUAAUUGAACUUUGGUGCUAUCGAAUUGCCAAUGAUGAUAUCUUAUUUCCAUAUCAACUGUGUUACCAAAAAUUGAUGACCUUGAGCUUGUGUUGAGGUACUGAAACUUUGUUUCUUAUGCUCCAAGAUCAAGGUCAACCAAGGAGCAUCUUAUAUCCGAGGCCAAUUUGUUCAAUACUAUAUUAUUUAUUGCUAUGGUUCAGUCUUUGUUUUCGCUGGUGACUAUAGUGGUAACCUCACCAAAAUCAUACAUGUGUGCUCACACCUUAUGUCAUGCACCAAACCAAACACGGCUCGUCACACCAAGUCAUACCACAAAACCGUCCAGACAAGCAACCAAACAUGAUUCCUAUGAUCCAGUAUGCUACACUCAUUUGCAACCAAACAUGCGAAGGUGCAUGGUCUCAUCUGGAAUGGUUUGAGCCUGCACAGGCCCUCCAUCCGGAAUGGCAGACCAAGGAGCAACCAAUCACACCCAGUUUCUUGGUUUGCCUUGAUGAAAUGAUCGGUAUGUGUUCUUCCAGAAGCUUCUUGAGGGAUGCGGAGGUCUGUGCACUGCUUCGUUGGUUGUCGAUGAUGUCCGGCCGUCGAGGGAAUAGAAGGGGGAUUUAGCAACGGGACGACGAGCGACCGAGACGUGGUGAGCGAUAUCAUCAGGAAGUCCCUUGAUAUCCCUAGUUUCUUUGAUUAUAUCAUGAGGUGGACAACCCGAUGUAAUUGAAUACGUGAAUCAACGGUCAGGAAUUCGGGGUGACGUGGCCCAAUUCCGGCUCGGGAAUUGUCUGCAGGUUUCGUCAUGUAGGGAUUGUUUCAAGUCUGUGUUUAAAAAUCCUUAGAUGCGCCUAUUCAUCCCCUUCCUUCUUUAGUCAUUGUAGAUCCUUUCACUUACUUAGCGUGUUUCCAUUAAAUACUUGAUAAGAUUUUAAAACCACAAUAGUAUCUUUAAGUUUUCUAAAAAAUCAUUAAAAAAAUCUAGAGAUAGAUAGGGAUACAACAAAUCCCAAUAAAAUAUUUAAAGCUCGUGAAAAAAAUCUUUAAAAACAAUUUAGGGGAUUAGAUAAGAUGUCUGGUUUUAAAUAAAUAAGUUCAUGAAAACAUCUUUAGAAACUAUUCAAGGGAUCGGAUAAGAUAUCUAGUUUAAAACACCGAGAAGGAAACAAAUUCAUGUUGGUAAACGGACUUUUUCCUCCACGGUUCGAGCAGGCGUUCAUGCCCCCACCUGCAAUCCUAUCUCUAUCCAUGAAAAAGUUCAUUUUAGCUCUCGAACUAUUGUUGUAGUCUGAUUUUUGCUCAUUAAACUUCAAAAUAAGAUAUCUUAACUCCUAGAAAUGCCCAAAUGCCUCCCUGACCUGUUUUGAAGUGGUUUUGAAUAUGGUUUCUUGUGUUGUUUUUACUUAAUUUUGGUAAAAUCUUGAUAAAGUUUUUAAACUACAGAAAUGUCUUUAUGCUCCUAAAGUUUUCAAAAAAAAUCCUAAACGUAGAUAAUGAUAUGAUGAGCCCAAUAAAAUAUUUAGAGCUCACAAAAAUAUCUCUAGAAGCUUUUAAAAUUAAAAUGGAAAAAGUGUGUAGAAAAAUCUAGAAAUUUCCAACAACAUUCUUGUUGAUGUAUAAACACAUUUUAAAAACUUUCCACCACACAAAACAUAAGGUGCAACCAACACGAAGCAUGGCAUGAUGAAUGCAUUCAACAUUGAUGUAUGUUGCACUAGUUGCAUUGCAUCUCAUAUUUUUGGCAUGCAAAGUUUAAAACACAUUUAGACUUUGUCAGAAUAUUAUUUAGAAUUACCAAUUUUUUGGAUGUUUUUCUCACUUUCCUAUAUCUAAAUCUAUUUUUGUUUGAGCUUAUAGAGACGAGCUCUAAAUAUCUUAUUUGGAUUUUUCAUAUCCCAAACUAUCUAUGUGGGUUAUCUUGGAAUUUAUAAGCUUAGAGACAUUUUCAUUGUUGAAAAAUCUUGUCAAGUAUUUACAAAAAAAAAGAAUUUAACUAAAAAAGACAAAACUACUUUGAAAACCACUCCAACCAGGACGUAAUCUAAACAGUUUUGAUAGGUCAGGUCUUUAUGAGGUAAGAUAUUUGCUUUUGGAGUUUUAAGAGGAAAACCAGACUACGUCGAUUUAUUUUUUCCCUCCUCUCUAGGCUUGGUAUACAAUAAGCGUCGUGUGUAGCAGGUGUCAACAACAGUAUGUAACUGGAUGUGGAAUGACUCGGAUGACAAAAACAUAUUCACUGGUGCAAAUAAGCAUGCACUACAAGGAGACAUCUGUUCGCUUGCUUAUCUACCGAAUCUGCUAGCUAUUUAGCAAUGUUUUUCUCUCAUAAUUAAUUAGCGAACAAUACUUUUUGUCAUGGCUUGCUAAUGCCCUAGCUAGAUAUAGUGUCGUAGGCCAAAGGCCAUGCUGUGGCGGCAUUGGAUUUAAAUGUUUUUUCUGGACAAUCUAACUUUGUUUUUGGCGAUAUCACCGUGUCAAUUGGUUGAUAGAAUUCAUACAUUCAGCUCAAGAACAAAGAAAGAAAAUUCUUGACCCCAACGAUGAACUAACAAGAAAAUCUCCGGCCCUGGCAGCUCCAUGUAGGGGUGUAGGACGUAUGAACCAAACGAAAUGCGGCCUGACGGGCAUUCGAUCGAUAGUACUAGACGCAUUGCCAUUGCCAGCAAUAUGGAUAAGCAUAUCGACCAAUAGUUCACAUGCGUAGUUAGGAUUAUACGGCCAAACGAGUUGAGAGCAGCCGCCCACGACGACGCUUAUAUUAGUUUGGACAAGGUGAGGGCACGACCUGUGCUCUCGUCGUCAGUAGUGACGCUUUAAUUUCAUAUUUUCAAGGGAAAAUAUGCCAAUAUGGUCGUCACCGAGUAGUACUCUGAUAGUCUGAUGUGGUUAAUUGCCUUUCAUUAUCAGCGUCAGUUUGCGUUCUCUAAAAAAUUAUCAGCGUCAGUUUCCGAUACGGAUGAUGCACUAGUCCUAACCAAAGUCGCCUCCAUCUAGAAGACCCUGAAGAAUCACAUGCCCACAUAUCAACCCUAUAUUUCUUCAAAAAAAAUCAGCCAUAUAUUUGCCUUAUCCAUGUAUAUAGUAGCAAAUUAACUUGUGAAACAGGAAACCAAUAUUCUAUAUGCUUAAAAAUAACUAAAAAUAAAGCAAUCCUAUUUUAAGUUAACACGCUUUGGUGCAAGAUUAUGUAUCCUGCAGUCUACUUUCCAAGCCAACCAAACAAGUCGACAACUAGAGGAGGAAAAAGCAACCAAUAAUGUGACAGCGUGUUUCGUCCCAACAGCACCCUGAACACCUCAACAUGUGUUACCCGUAACACAACAGUAAACAUCAUCUUAUUCACAUCAACUGCUCCACUUCUUCCUCGGACAAAUUCCCAAGUGCAUACAUGCUGCUAUGACCGGUUUAGUAUGUAGAAACAUAACAAAAUAUUUCCGUCAACAAUGGAGUCGCCAAAAGGAGUAUUGAUGUGACAAUGUAAGAGAUCUUGCCCCAUUUUCAACCGAAAUCCAUGAAAAAUAAGCCUUCAAGCAACAUCACUUUUCUUUCUUUUUUCUUAAAGACUCCCAUAGUCCCAUCCAUAUUGGAUCGGAAGUUUCGGUCAAGUACACGGGACAUUACAGUUGUAUCAAAAUUUAUCAUUAUCUUGUUGUUGACUCUGUUGAGGCUUGGAGUCUUGGGCUAAUCUUUAGCCUACAAGAUGGAGGGCAAAGAUUAGCCUCUUAGAAUGUUUGAUACCCUAGACUAAAAGCUGGCUAUGGCUAAAAGGUGAUAUUUGACUAUUUGAGUCCUCCAUAACACCUUUUAGCCCUCCCUAGGCCACCUUGAAAGGGCUAAGGGCACUCACAAUGUAAACUCUAUCAUAAAGUCUAAAGUUAUUUAUUACCUCGAACAAUGUGGACUUAGAGUCUAAAUAAGACUUGGAGACUUACUUUUUCUACCUCUUUCUUUAAUAAAUAUGCUGCCACAUCAGCAAAAUACCAUAAAUAAUAUAUAAUUAAUUGUCUUGGACUCUGUGAUAGAGUCUUGCAUUGUCAGUGCCCUAAGGCCUUCCCCAACACGGUAGACUGGCUAGUAGUCCUAGAUGUAUAGAUAGGCUCGGAUGCCACCAUGCACACAAGAUAGAUGCCCACAGUUGUCUCGACCCACAGUUGUCUGAUGUGUUUGUAGAAACUAUACUCCUUCAAUACCUAUAAAGAAAGUCGUUUUGAUAUGAUUUAGGUUAAACAUUGAGAAUAUAAAUCAUGAAUAACUUUUAUGUUGUUGAAUUUAGAAAUAUGAAAACCAUAUGAAUAAAUUUGUCUUGAUAAAUACUUUCAUAAAAAUAUAUAUACUAUUUUUUGAUAAAUAUUUUUAUAAAAACAUAGAGUCAAAGUUAGAUUUUGAAGAUUUUAUCGUUGUUGGAGGGAGUAAGUAGUUAAGGUGAGAGAAGGUGGUCCACUUAUAAAAGUAGGAUGAAGGAGAGAAAAUGGUGAUUGGCUUGCAUUGAAUGACUAGUGGUCUCAAAGUUUUCAUAGUUAUACGAACUACUCUCUUUGUCUCAAAUUAACUGACUAAAUAUAUAUUAAAAAUAUUAAUACUUAUGGUACAUAGUUAGUAUCACUGGAAGAUUUUCUAAUCUAGUUUUUUAAUAAAUUUAUUUAAAGAUAUAAAUAUUGUAUAUUUACUUAUAAAUCUAGUCAAAUUUGUGAUACAAAAAUCCAAAACAAUAAUUAUUUUGAGAUAAAGGGAGUACUUAUACAGAGACCGGCUCUAUUAGCUUGCAGUGAUCAUGCCCUCCUCUCCUUUGAGCCCUGUCACAAUCUUUAAGGAUUAAAAGGGGAGCGCUAAUCUUUAGCCCAUUGAAUCUAAACAAGUCCUAAGGGGUGUUUGGUUAAGUUAUUAAAAUUUAACAAGUACCAUAGUAUUUUUGUUUUAUUUGACAAUUAGUAUUUAAUUAUAAAAUAAUUAGGCUUAAAAGAUUUGUCUCGCAAAUUACUCUUUAGCUACGUUUUUAGUUUCGUAAAUAGUCUAUAUUUAAUAUUUUAUACAUGUGUUUAAACAUUUGAUUUAACCGGAGUUAAACUUUACCGGAGCCUAACACACACGAGUGGUCAAAAUUUACUAUAUACCACAUCCGUUUUAUUUAUCAACAUAACUUUUUAUAUUAAAGGAGAAAAAAACUACUUCCAGCCGUUCCCACUGGAGGCUUGAGCUAACCUAACUUUCCAGUCCCCGGGUUGGAAAGACAGGUCCCCAACUACCUGGCAUUAAAAUGUCCAAGCAAAGCAUACAGGAUAAGCUAGCUAGCUAAUCCAUCGUACGAACUUGGAAUAUUUUUCAGUGCCAAUUGUGCAACAGGAUAAGAUCACAUUGCACAUGCACAGUCAUCCUCCGGCCCCACUCCCUCUCUCCCCUUCCCCCACACCAAACCUAGUAUUAUAAAGUAGUAUAAUUAUCACAUUUGCUCACAUUGGAGAUGCAAGUGUGAGGAUAAGGGCAUCAAUCGAAGAGCAAAAACUAAGGAUUAAUAGCCAGCAUAGGAUCCCUCAAUCACCACCCCUUGUCUGUUCUGUUCUCACUCUGACUCAAAACUACUCGCCAGGGUAACUCAAAAAACAAUUCUUGGCUGAGCAAUCACGCGCGGACCAGAUCAUGUUAUUGUAUUUGGCAGAGCCGUCAAGAAAGAUGUUGAUUCACGCACCGAUGAUCAGAUCACCCACCAAAGCGAAGCAAAGGAAUUCCACGCUAUUUUUGGCAGUGACUUUGGAUUAGUUUAUGUGGCAACUCGUUGCUGUUCUCCCCAUGUUUGGCGAAACCGGGGGGCGUUUGCCUCGAAAUUAUAGGAGCCUUUUCGCUGUCGAUCCACGCACGACGCACCACGCAGAACGAAGGAAACAGGGAUGGAGAUGGAUGGAUCCACCCGUUGCUUUUCCAAAAACAAAGAUCACCAUACUAGCUGCAAAGUGACUUUCGUCGUUGUGAUCAGAUCAGACUUUGAUCCUCACUCAUUGGCAGCUUCAUCUCUCCAAAGCAUAGCAGUAUAGCACUGGCCGCGGCCAAUUGGCAAUCAGCCUGUGGCACAGUGCAAUCAUGGGAUACCCCAUCAAGCAGAUCACACCACACUACCACAGCAGCAAGUUAAUCAAAUGAAUCAAAGGCAGGCAGCUAACCACCAUGAUCAUCAUUUGUUAAUGAUACCCCCAGGUUGUUAGGUCAGUCGAAGCACUUGUUCUGAGGUCAAAGAAAGCCAGGAGGCUAGGAGGAUGAACACAACAAACUUGGAUCUUAUACACCGGAACCAUAUUAUAGUAAGUGGAUACUACAUCUCUACUGGCCAAGAGGCUAGGCCAAAGCUGGAAGCAAACCUGCGGCUGCUAAUCACUACCAUCAGUACUGCUGCUAUUGUGGAGAUCAGACAGUGAGAAGGACCUCGGAGAUCUGAAGCUCCCAAGGCCAUUCCUCCUAUGCAUGCCAACGCCGCCGAGCCUGGUGGGCGGCAGUGGCAAUGCCGGUGCGUCCCUGACGUUCUUGCCGCGGUGCGGCAGCUGGCUGUAUUCCACGUCGUCGUCGGAGUCGUCCUCCUCGCCCUCGUCCCCCUCGGCGACGGCGUGGUCGGGGCCCAGGAGCGGAGGCAGGUAGGUGGCCGUGGCCAGCGAGCUGCAGGAGGCUCGCCUGGACCAGUUGGCCAGGAUGCGGCGCCGCUUGUUGAAUGGGUUCUCCGGCUUGGCCAGCAGCUCCUUGGCCGCCGCCACCGUCGACGUGGCCUCCGCCAGGCUGGUGAACGACUUGGACUUGCCGGAGUAGAAGCUCGAGAGGCCCUUCCUGAUCAAACAAAUUAGAAGUCUUUUGAGUUACCAUGCGCAAUUUGAGGCGAUUUUGGGUGAAAGCAGUCAUCUUUUUCCCUCCGCUCGCUGUUACAAAAAGGGGGAAAUCCAUGGACUGCAUGCUUAGCAAUGUUGCUAGCCCCUCAGCCCCAGAAAAAAAAUCAUCUCCUUUUCAAUUAAAAAGAUCCCAUUUUGCAAAAGCAAGCGAAAUCGCAUGAGCGAUCCAAAAGAAAACGAAAGCUUUAUGAACUCACUUGAUAGGCAAGGAGUCCUCGAGCGCAUCCAAGCAACCGAGCGCAUCACCAUCCUUGAGCUUGCUCUCGACUUCCUCCUCCCCGUCGUCCUCGCCGGCCUCCGACGACGAGUUCUCACCGAUCGACGAGCCCGACGGCGACGGCGCCCCGAUCGACGAGGUAUCGGUCAGCACCUCUUCCUCCGCCUCCUCCUGGACCUCCUCUAUGAAGAACCCGUCGCUUCUCCUCUUCCCGACCGCCUCCUCCUUCUCAUGCCCGCCGCCGCUCCCCUUCCCGGAUCUGGGGAAACCGAAGGCCGGCCGCACCUCCGCCACCGCCGUAGGCAUGUCGCCUGAGCCGCGAGAUUCGACGGUCCGGGCGUUGCCAGUGUGUGUCUGGAGUAAAUUGAGGAAAUCUCGGGUGGAUUGGAUAUGUGUGUCCGUCCAAGAACAGGGACAGGAACACAGCUUGUAUGAGAGAAUCACAGAAGAAGGGGGAAAGAGAGAGAAGAAGCGGAACGCAGGAGGCAGGAGGAUAGGAUAAGAGCAAGGACCAGGACGCAACCUGGGUGCGCGGGGUCUUUGUAGGCUGAAAGAGGCCGCAAAGCCGCAGGAUCCUCUGCAGCCAAAUCACAAGAUAACGCGCGGUGUGUGUGCUAUUGCGCAAUUGAUUGUGACCGUAUCCCAAUCUAUCAAUGCCAUGUCUCAAGAUAAUUCUACCACCGCAUCACGUAGUCAGUAUCAUAUAAAAAAUGAGAGGAAGUAAUAAUUGAUAGCAAGUAUCUCAAUACUAUCCUGAUAGAUUUUCUUAUCAUGUUUUACUUACAUGAUGUUAGAUUUUUUUUUAUCAUGUUUUACUUAUAUGAUGCACCAAGUAGCAGCCAACGAAUGGAAGUAAUGAUUAUGGUGUUAGUUGCCGCAUCUCAUCUCAAGGUAGAAAUCUAAGGUCACAAUCUUACAUUGUGACUAGGAACCGAUAACUUGUAUCAGAAUGUGUCAUCACGGAAUUAUGUUAAAAAUACUCACUCCAAAUGUAGAUGAAACUAUAUUUGGCGUCCGUCGCAUAUCCUUGUGACGUAGCUUUAGCCACACCAAAAGUGUGACGACGUAUAAAACGAGCGCCACACUUUUUGGCAAUCAAAUACACUAGUGGCAAGAAGAGCAAGUUCAGCAAGCCACAUGCCUAGAAGUGUAGCAAAUUAUGCCCUAAAGCUCGGUGCAAUAUGCAGUAUAGGGAAGUGGUUUUGGGUUCUAUCUAGAUCCUUUUUAUCUUGGCUUUUUAUCCAUCCCUACCUGCUAGCCAUACCUAUUGUGAACAAACUUAUCAAAACUGUAAAUUCUAGAUCAAAUUGUAAGCUUUUGGUUAAUAUCAUAUCCAUAAAAAAUCAUAAGUGGAUCUAGGGCGCCAGGGCUGCCCGUGAUGAAGCCCUAGUCCUUGGCUAUAAACUCCAUACAAACUUAUUUCAUCAGCUAUAAAAUUUAAAGAGAAAAAAUUGACUUAGUUUUUUACUACAUAGUUUGGCUCGAGGUUUAGAAGAUUUCUGAAUCUGUCUCUAACCAUAGAAAUAUAGACUACAGUGAAAGGCUUAUUGAAUCGGAUCCCUUUGUUAUUGACAUCAUAAUGACAUAAGAUCUUAUGGAAAAAUGUUUUGUUCGUUUGGGCUUAUCAGUCGAAUCUGUUAACUAUUCAGCAGUGUUUUUCUUUCACAAUAAAUCAGUUAAUAAUAUUUUCUACCACGGCUUAUCAAUCAAACCGCGAUGAUUUGUGACACAUGCAUCUUUUUUUUGAGAAAAAUGGAUAGGACCAUAGUAAGCUUUUAAGGGCAUUCACAAUGCAGACUCUAUCAUAGAGUCUAAAGUUAUUUAUUACCUCGAAUAAUGUGGACUUAGAGUCUAAAUAAGACUUGGAGUCUUAUUUUUUCUACCUCUUUCUUCAAUAAAUAUGCUGCCACAUCAGCAAAAUAUCAUAAAUAACAUGUAAUUAAUUGUCUUGGACUCUAUGAUAGAGUAUUGCAUUGUGAGUGCCCUUAGACUCCAAGUCCACAUUAUUCGAGGUAAUAAAUAACUUUAGACUCCAUGAUAGAGUCUGCAUUGUGAGUGCCCUAAGGCCAGGCUCAGUGGGAGUUUCAUCUGAGUUUCAUUCACAUUAAAUAGGCUGCCACAUAUGCAUUUUAGAUGACAUGGCAGUGUAUUUAAGAAGAGAGAGAAGAAAUGAGUUUCAUCUAAAUGAAACUCUCUUGGCACAAUUACCAACUCUCUAUGAGUCUUGAAAUUAAAUGCCUAUGAAACUAUGGAAUGAAACUUUCCAUUGAGAGUGAAUGUUUCAUCCAAGUUUCAUUUCAUUUCUAUGACAUGGCAACCUUGGAAACAACGCUAUGAAACUCUCCACUGAGACUGGUCUAAUGGUAUCUCCAAAAAACCGAAGUGUUUCAGGUAUCCCAGACAUCCGGAACCCUGUUCUUGGGCGACGCAGAGGAUCCGAGUGCCGUUGGCCCAUACGGAUGAGCCUCUCCCUCCCUCGCGUGGCUAGUGGACCGCGUCCACCCGCGCCCCGCCGUGUUCCUUCCUUCCUUCCUUCCUUCCUGUGGGUGACUGGGCUAGACGGACCAAGGAAACAGCAGGGCCAUCCCUAUCCGUUACUGUUAAGAGUCUCGGCCGGAGCGGUCUCGCCGACUGACCCCCGGGCCCCGCCCCUUUGGAUAGACGAGGGCUGGCGAGCUGACGAGGUGGUGAGGUGUUUUGUUUGACACGUUCCUGAUCCCCUCGCGCGUUUGUGGUGGUGGCGGCGGUGGACCUGUCAGAUCACCUGUGGUCCGUGUGGAGGCUGGCGGGGGCGGGGGCGGGGGCGGGGGCGGGGCAGAGGCCAGCCCGGACAGCCGGAGACGAGGUUGCCGGGACCGGGAGCAGAGCGACUCUUCAGCCCACGAGCCACGACUCUCGCUGGUAGACUGCUCGCGUGACGCACGCCUGAUGAGUGAUGAGUCUUUGGCUCGCGCCUUGGUUGUUCGCCGCGGCGGCGUCCGGAGUCCAAACGAGCCGGCUGCCUGCCAGCGAUGUGGAUUAGUAGUGCUCUAAACAGAAGCUUUUCACGCGAAUACUAUGCGGGAACGUGAUAUGGAGUUGUCAUGGACAAAACAUUGCCUGCCGCCUUGUUUAGAUCACCUCAAAAUCUAAAAAAAAAAUCAAGAAUUUAACUAAUUUCACACUCUAAUUUAUGAGACGAAUCUUUUAAUUCUACCUAGUUUAUAUGUAAAUAGUAAUUAUUAAAUAUAAAUGAAAGUGGUGCAGUAUUAAAAUAAAAAAAAAUUCAGAACGCCGCUGCCGCUGCCGCUGCCGAGGCCGGGGAGAGUUGCUGCCGUUUCGUCGCGAGCGCGGCGAGACAAAUCCCUGUGACGUACCGCUGCAUCGUCGGUUAGCUUUUCCUGCAAUCUUCUCCUGGCUGUUGCUAUGAUGCCAAUGAACAUUCCUGCAGAGUCUAUGUGCUGGCCGCUCAAGCUAGGGCGUUUGUCCGACCAGUCCAUAAACUAUUUAGGCCCUGUUUACUUUCUAAUUUUCUUUUCAUAAUUUAUUUAUAAUUUAUAAGAUGAAUCUUUAAAGCUAAUUUUAGCAUAUAAUUAAAUAUUAAAUAUUAAAUAAAAUAAAAAUACUAUAGUAGCUAAAAUCUAAUUUUUUUCGCGAACUAAACAAACAAGGUUUUACUAAUUCGCAAGCACCGUAGGCCCCUCCUACCGUGUGGAUUUCGGAGCCGAUCGAUGAGCGAGCUGCCAACCAGCAGACGGGCCGGCGGGUGGGGAUAAUCCUUGCAUUUUUGUUUGCAACGAUAAGGUUAGAGAUAAUCCUUGUGUACACGCCGGUACGACUUAUGCUUGCUCUCGCUGUCGGCUGCACCAACACUACUGUCGGUUCCCACUAAAAUAGGAGUACACGGUCUUUGUCUCAACUCCUAAGCAUAUCCCUUCCCUAGUGACUGUGGUGUAUACUGAACAUAAAUGGACCGUACGUUCAUGUUUAAGGCUAGGUUUAGUUGGAUCCGAAAUGCACACUCACGCACUAUCCUAUCUGCGUCACGAGGCAGUAUUUUUUCCUUUGGAAUACACAGGUGCUAUGGGACGCAUAGUCUAGGACUCUAGGUGGAUGCGCUUCAAUUCGGACACAUCUAGCUAAGAACAAGUGCUUAUUUAUAGUAUAGCUAGAAUAAGUGGUUCCCUAGCGUUGAUCGCUCCACUGAUGAGAUGAAAUGGAGCCUAGAGGUAGGACGGAUUAGGACUAGGACAAGGGAACCACACGCACGCACUUGUGCUGUUGACCAUCGUCCGCCCCACAAGCCCGUCUUCCGAUUCCAUCCAAAAACUCAUAAAAGAGAUUAGAUCUCCCGCUUUGAGUUAAGGAACCUGCCUUCUGCUAUAACCGCGAUCAAUGUUAAUUUCUGCCACCUAAUAAAUUUGACGAUAUAUGGUUUUGACCCUGUGCUGCGGACGAGUGGUCCACGGCUUUUUGAUGGAUUGACAUGCCCUGUCCGCCUGUCGGUCGCUCGAGCGAGCCCCGCGGGCAGAGUUGCCGUGCUGCCGACGAAGUGUGCAGCACGUUGGUCAGCCAGGUCAGGGACGUUCCGUUCCUAACCUCUGAUGAUCCAAUCCAAUCCAAUCCAAAUCCAAACACAAGCAGUAGUGUUAGGCCUUGUUUAGUCUGAAAAGUGAAAACUUUUCGGAACUGUAGCACUUUCGUUUGUUUGUGAUAAAUAUUAUCUAAUUAUGGACUAACUAGGAUUAAAAGAUUCGUCUUGUGAUUUACAGCUAAACUGUGUAAUUAGUUUUUGUUUUCGUCUAUAUUUAAUGGUUUUGCGUAACCUUUUUCCUCUUAUACGCGUGUGACAUACCUUAAUCUGUUUGCUUAUAGCUGAAAAACUAUGACUAAAAAUAUUAUCCGCUGAUUUAUUAUAAAACAAAAAUACUAUUGAAUAACUUAUAAAUUCGGUAAAUAAAUUCAACCAAACAAACUAAGCUAAGGUACAGCUUGUUCGUGGAUGCACAGCUGGCAGGUACCAGCUGCAGAGACAGCCCGUUAGGCCAGUCUCAAUGGGGUUUCAUAGGGGAUUUCAUUCACAUUAAAUACGGUAAUGAUAUGUAUAAGACGUCCGGACGGACGGACGCUAGUGUUCACUCGUUUUAUCCGCUUCCGAUUCACUCGUUACCUUCUUCUCUCCCUCGCGCUGCUGUCCACACAUUUUAUUCACUACUUUUCAUCUUCUCUCGCUGCUCCGCUUCUUUUGCCACACACGCCCGCACUCUACUGCGCCGCUGGCUAGCCAUCCCUCUCUCUCUCUCUCUCCCUUUCUCCCUUCCUCACCUCGCUACAACUUCCAUGUCUCUAUGCCACCGGAGUGGGGGCGGCGACGGUGGCUUGUAGCAAGCCGCACGUCUCCCUAUCUUCGUACUCUCUUCCUCGCUCGGCGUCCUCCAUGGAUGACGGCGCACCUCCGACGAGGUAGGUGGGGACGAUUUGGAUCUGAGGUCUCUCUUUCCCCUCCCUCCUCGUAUGGAUCUAGAUCUAAGCCCUCCUCUUCUUCUUCUUCUUCUAUGGAUCUAGAUCUGAGCCCUCCUCCCUCCUCCACGUUUUUCAACUCUGCUCCUCCUCCUCCUACUACUUCUCCUUUGGGUCUGGAUCUACGGGAUGUGGUGGUGGUUAAGGUUUCGAUGAGCUUUUGGGUUUCAGCGCUCGCGCAUGUUGUAAUGGUGUUCUCUGCUUGUUGCAGUACGUUUUCAAGUGAUGUUGCAGUAGGGUAGGAUUUUGACGAGCUCUCAGGUUCAGGUCUCGUCUUCAUUGCAAUGGUUCUCUCUAGACGUUGCAGUAGGUUUCAGUCGUUUGUUGCAAUACUCUGUUUCAAGAUGUUGUUUCACUUGCUUUAAUCUGCAUGUUCUAGUAGUUUCUUUCAUGUUGUUGCAGCAGUUGUUCGAUGUUGUUGUAGUACUAUGUCCAUGGUGUUUCAGUUGCUCCAUUUAAUGUUUUAAUCUUCACUGUUGUAUUAGUUGUUGCAUGUUGUUGCAACAGCUGUUCGGUGUUUGUUGUACUACUAUAUCCAUGGUGUUUCGGUUUCUCCACCCAAUGCUUCAAUCUAGCUGUUGCAUUAGCUGUUACAUGUUGUUGCAGCAGUCGUUCGUUGUUGUUGUAAUACUAGGUUUCAUGGUGUUUCAACUGCUCCAUCCAAUGCUUCAAUCUGUAUGUUGUAGUAGUGUUUGCAUGUUGUUGUAGUAGGUGUUCAGUGUUUGUUGUAAUACUAUGUUUUAUGUUGUUUCAGCUACUUCAACAUAUUGUUGUAGUAGUAUAUCUAUGUUGUUGUACUAUCACGCGCAUUGUGUUGCAGCGUUAAGUCUAUGGGGUAGGCUGUCGGGAUGAGUUGACGAUGGGCAGAUGUGCUAGGGACCGGUGAGACGAGGAGCGAGGUGUAUUCGGUGCUCGCGGUGGUGGGGACGGGCUCCUUGUCUGGGGAGCAGACGAAGAGCAGUCCUCCGUGCGGGGCAAGUAGAGCAGAGCGCGAGAUGUUUGCGGACGGACGGUCUCCCUUUUCUUUUCUUUUCUUUUUGCGGGUGGGGGCUCGACGUACGGAUGUGUUGUUGAAGCUUUUUUUAUUUUCUCUGGAUGGCGCGGGUUGGAGGCUCGGCGUCCGGAUACGGUACUGGCGUCGGACGUCCGGGCGCUAGCAGUUCCGCAUUAAAUAGGAUGCCAUAUCAGAUUUUUGCAUGAAACUGGGAGGAGGGAGAAGGGAUACGUUUCAUCCCGGUGAAACGUUUGAGCGCGGUUUCCAAAAGAUUGGAAACAGCGACGAAACAACACUGAGAGUGGUUUUCGCGUUUCAUCCGGUGCCGUCGCGAUUCCGUCGCCAUCGCGAGCUGCCCCAUCGUGAGACCACCGCGCAGUCCUGAUUCCACCACCGUCGCGAGCGGAUUCCACCACCGUCGCAAGCUGCCGCACGGUCGCGAGCUCUUCCACGAGUGGGCGCAAGCCGCCAUGCCGCGGGGCGCGAGCUCUGCCACGCCGCGGGCGCAAGCUCCUCCGCGAGUGGGCGCAAGCCGCCAUGCCGCCGGGCGCGAGCUCUGCCACGCCGCGGGCGCGAGCCGUCGCGAGUCCACGGGGCCACAAGCUACCCCAUCGCGAGUUCGCCGCGCCAUCCUAAGGCAGAGUCCAAUCCCCAUGGCACCUCCACUCCCGAUGUUGGAGCAGCACAGCAUCCGAGCAGAUGCGUGGGGGCCAAUGGACACCGCCGCUGUCUUGUAGACACUGAAGCCAUUGUUACGGUCUUCCAGCACCAAGUACAGGUGCUUGCGGCAGCCGGCGGUGGCUUGGCCUUGGCUCGUCCUCCGCCAGAUCCUUCACUUCGCCACCAUCAGACAUGCGGGCUCUGUCUCUGCCAGAUGUGUUCAGCCGGAGCGGAGUCACGGUGACAAGAAGGAUGUGGGGAAGAGAGAGAUUAUAGGACAGGUGGGACCCAUAAAUAGUAAAAAAAAAAGUUAUGAAACCGUACUAUGAAACUUUGCACUGUAUGAGAGAUCUGUUUCAUGAUAAAGUUUCACGUGUUGGAAACAGGGAGAUGAAACUCCUCAUUGAGACUGGCCUUAUUCUCUGUGGCGCAAAAUCAAAACAGGGCCGUAAUGGCUCCUUGUCUCACCGGCACUGUUUGGAGAUUUGGGCCAGGCUUGAGAAGCCUCCAUCGGGCCCACUCAGGUAGGCUCGGUGGCCUUUGUUUCAAGUGGCUGCUGGGCAACUGGGCCUGGGGGAGCGAAAGCCCAGAUUAGUCCAAUCCUUCCUUUCCUCCAAACAACGACGGAUUUUGUUCUCGCGACCUCUCGCUUUCGGCUGAAAGCCUGAAACUGAAACGGAAGCGAGAGGCCCUUGGCCCCUUGUGAUGUCAGACUGAGAUGAUCCCUUCCUUAAUUGGAACACCAACUCAAAAGCUUCCAAACUCUAGUUCUUCCGGGAGAAACUGAACAAUUUACUGCACCGAAGACCAAAAGAACUGCACAAUUUACUGCUGCAACUCACACUCACACAGCCAAACGAAAGUUUAACUGCAAUCCAAGCAGCUCUGAUCGACCGGUUUCUGUUUAGCUCUGAUCAGAGACUCAGAGUCUUCAGAGAAAGGAUCUCCUAGCUCUCUAGGCAGCUACAGUAUUUUGCAUUGCCCGCAGGUGCAGCUAUCUACGUACUUACGUACCUGCUGCGUUUCACUGCAUCAUCACAUCUUCAAUUCCCAAUGCAUGCAUGAUCGCGCGGGGAUCGGCCAGACCGAAACCGAAGGCCAUUGAUCGACCUACUAGAGGCUCCACAGCCUCAGCUCUAGCUGCUUUCUCGCAGCAGCACAUGUGGCAGCCAGGCAGGCAGGCAAGGCAGCGGCCUGACAAAUGAUUUCAGCCUCGCUUUCCCGCGCUGCAAAUCCUAAUCGCCCGACCGAUCUCUCGUCCCCCCCGCUGCGCCCAAACUGUGCAGUGCCUCGCUCGUCUGCGUGCAUGCAGUACAGUGCAAGCUAGCUAGGCCGGGGAAAAGGAGAAACAGGUAGCUGCAAAACUCGCCUUUUCCUCAGGUGGUCCUCUCGAUUGUCUCUUCGCGCACUCUGCAGCGCGGCCCUCCGAUCAUCGCCGUCGUCGAUCGUCUAUCAUGCAUGCAGGUGCACACACCGGACCGCCUGAUGACCAACUCUGAUGGCCUGUGGCCACACACCCGAUUGUCUUCUUCCCUCCGGUGGUCCGUGCCGGCCGGCGAGAUCGAGCGGUGGACGGCGGCCGGUCCCCGCGCGGCCGGGCCGGCGGGCCGACGGCUGCAUAUGCGUGUGUACUUCAAUAAUUGUGCGGCCGUGGUACGCCAACACGUCGGAUGAACAUGAACUGAAGGUGUUGCAUUAUCGGUGGGACGAGAAUCAUGCGCCGUGCGAUGAGCAGCAGUGCAGGACACUGUUCAUGCAUGCACGGUGAGGUGGUCAUGCAUCACCGAGACCUUUUUUAGGUUUCUCUCCUAUCGACGACAGCAACAGUGAACGGAAAAAAAAGAUGCCCUGCAGAUCGAUUUGCAGUGCAGCAGGACACGCCGGCCGGUGGUUCUGCUACACAUAUAUGAUGCCCUUUUGCAUUCGUGGCCAGCUCGUCAGGCAAAAAAAAAAUCAUGCGAGAGUUGAGCUGUUAAUUAACUUGGAGUUCAUUGUUUUGGACAAAGGCAAAACAACACAGCGACCUUGAAAAUCAACUACACUCCUCAAGAGUAUAUCUGAUUUGUAUAUUGAACAAGUUGCACGGCUAAUCAUGUCUUGUUUUGCCCAUGGCUAAGAAACAGAUCAAUCAGCAUGCAGCAGCCGUGUACUCUUUCUUUUUUUUAAAAAAAAAAUCAGAACUCGUAUAUAUGCCGUCGUCCCAGAGAGAGGAGCAGCAGCAGCAGCAGGCCACGUAGUACGAACGAGCAUCGGAACUUCAAAAUAAAGCUUGUCAAGACAUUCGGACUGCGUAGCUUCACUCAAAACAAAAACUAGUCAGAGAUCAAGAUCAUGCAUGCAUAAUAGUAUCAUACACAUGCUGUGGUAGAGUAGCUAGCUGCCAUGCAUGCCAUGCCAUCUAUACACGGAUCGAUACACGUGGCGUGCAUCGACGGCGCGCGCCGCUCAUGAUUGCAGGGAGCAUAUAUAUACUUUACGUAUUCUAUUGGCUCAGAGGAUCGGCCAAGCUUAAUUGUUUAAGUUACAUAUAUAUAUCCACGUACAUUGACAUACUAGAAGUGCAUCGGAUCCUGCUUGCAUUGCAUCGGAAGCUAGUAGCAGGCCAGCGAUGGGCGCCGGAUCACAUGCAGGAUGAUCACGUACGCACAUGGCCCACAUGAUUUAUGCAUGAGAUGUCUCUCGAGAUAGACGAAGAUGAUGCGUGCGUGCAUGCAUAUACAUGCUUCCAAGACCCACACCACAUCCUUCUUCCAAUCUCUCACCUCACCUCAUAUAUUAAUCAUAUACACCUUUUCGUCUGAGAUAUAAUAUAAACUAUGGGAGCAACACGCAACUUGAUGGAUCCGCCUGUAUGUGUAUCUUUUUUUGAAACAAAAUAUAUAUUUGUACAUACUGCAUACAGAUACAGAUCCCUAUAUAUAUCGUACGUGCCAUAGCGGCAUAAAUUAUAUAUCACUAUAUCCCACAACUUUCACAACUUGCGAUCACUGUGCUGGUUCCAAACCGUCUUUCACUAUUGUUAUAUAUUUUUAAACGGCACAAAACAACGCUAAGAACUUAUUUGGACCUUAAUCCAUGUGUAUUGUAGUGGUUUGGUGUAAAUUUAAACUAAAUUCCACACAUUACCAGUCCAACAUGCAUAGAUUAAGGUUAAUACAUGAAUAUCCAAACAAGGUCUAAAGGAAGGGAAAAAUAUAUACUAGCAUCCAUUCGCUUAGGUUGUUGAAUCUACUGUUCGUGAGCGAGGUGUCGCCACCCAGAGGGAGCAGCCGCCGCCACAUCUACAUUGUUGCCAUCAGACCGUGCCGCAGCAGGGGGGAAGGGGGGAGGAGGAGAGCUCUCUGCCAGAGUUGGAUUCGGGAUCAAGCGAAGGGGAGGUUCGAAGAGACGGGAGCUUGGUAGGGAUCUAGGGAGGGGAGAGAGAGUAGAGGAGAGGAGAUACUGAAGCUUAAGGAUGUGGACAUGAAGGGGAGAUGGAGUUAAUCACAUUGAAAAGAAAAAUUGGAUCCAGGGAUGAGGGAUCACUAUUGGUUGGUUUAACAAUCCGACAAUGAUGUCGGUUUUAGAUUGUCCGAUAGUGAUGGGGUGACAAAGACUGUGGUUUUUAUUGUAGUGUAAACAUGUAAUACUAUACUCUAUUCGUUUCAAAAUAAAGGGCCAUUAUUAUUUUAGGACAUGCAACUUCAAUCUUUUGUUACCGUUUAGGGUUUAUUUUGGACUGCUCCGCUCCUAUAACCUCGCUAACCAAACAGUGACAGCUCCCCGAGCCUUGCUUUAGAAAAAAAAAGGUGGAGUUGGGGCCAACUCUAGCUGUUUUAUGGAACUAUUUCAUGGUGGGGUUAGUGAAAUACUCCCUCUGUCCCCCAUUUUAGAGUCGUUUUAGCCUUCACUUAGGUACAUGCAAGAUUCUAUGAUUUUGGAUGGAAGCCUUCACCUAGAUACAUGCAUGAUGCUUUGAAUGGAGACAGCUAGAAGCACAACUACAACGACUCUGAAAAGGAGACAUAGGAAGUAGAGUCAAUUUUGAUAGAGUGAAACAGUCCCAAACAAAACUGUAUAUCUUUAUCUCAUUCUCGCCGAGUCCUCAAAAUUUAUGAACAAAUACUACUUGCACUAGCUAAUUCUCUCUCUGGCAUCCAUGUGUGUGAGAGAUAGAGGUCUUGUUUAGUUUGUGAGUGAAAAGUUUUUGGUGUCACAUAAGAUGUUUCAUAGAAUGUCGAAAGGGGUGUUCGGAUACUAAUUAAAAAACUAAUUACAUAACUCGCAUAGAAACCGUGAGACGAAAUUAUUAAGCCUAAUUAAUCCAUCAUUAGCACAAGUGUUACUCUAGCUAGAAGAUUCGUCUCGUGAUUUCCAUGCAAACUAUGUAAUUAGUUAUUUUUUAUUUAUAUUUAAUGCUUCAUGCAUGUAUGUGUCUAAAUAUUCGAUAAGACAGGAUAAAAAAAUUUAGGUAGGAACUAAACAGGGCCAGAAAUGGACCGACGAUUCACUAAACAAAUGGUGGGGAAAGACGGUAAAGACGAAUAAAUCCACAUUCAUGACAUAUAUGUUUAGAACAAAGAGCAAAUUGAAUAUCCGUCUAUGAAAUUCUGAAAUAGAGAGAGUACAUUGUAUAUUGUUUAUGUAACCAGAUCUAUACAAUUAUUAAAGUGCUUUAUAUGUGGGCAGUUAUCUAUCAACUUGCAUUAAUUAAUUGCAUGCUAAUUUAUAGUGUAUUACCUACAAAAAACGCAUAUAUACAUCAAUAUGUACUGUUAUAUAUACAUACUUCCACCGUACCUAGAGUAGAACGCAACGUUUUCAUCCCUUUCUGGCCACCCACUUUGUACGUAAUAGAAGAAUCCAAGGUAACCAAAGAAGUAGAAAUUGACCGGCCUUGUUUAGUUCCCCAAAAUUUUACAAAAAUUUUCAGAUUCUCCGUCACAUCGAAUCUUUAAACGUAUGCAUGGAGUAUUAAAUAUAGAUGAAAAUAAAAACUAAUUGCACAGUUUGGUCGGAAUUUACGAGACGGAUCUUUUAAGCCUAGUUAGUCUAUAAUUGAACAAUAUUUGUCAAAUACAAACGAAAAUACUAUUAUUCCUAUUUUAUAAAAUUUUUUUAAGUAAACAAGGCAGACAUGCAUGCUUUUUCGCUCGGCUACUACCACAGUAAAAUUAUCCGCUAGUAUAGCAGAGUUAAAAAAAAUCUUGUGCUGGAUGACAAGAGAUAGAUUUUGCCUUGGGAAGUGUGCAUGUACCGGCAAUUGUCAUGGCUGCAAUGCAAAGAAUGUGCAAGCUAGUUAAUCACGGAUGGGAAUAAAGUGGUAGAAAAACAUGGGAGGAUUAGGAGGACUAAUAAACCCCUUCCAACCCAACAGGAUCCAUGUGGGCUGGCAGCACCAGCUUUUUCUUGGUGCCAACCACCUUUUGUGAUCUCUGGUGGGGCGGGAGGCGAGAUCUGGUCUUCUCUUGCCGGUGACUCGGAACCCCUUCUUCCCCUGCAAGCCAGUGGCAGGGCGCGUAAUUGUUCCAUAAUUGAGGGCUAUUCUUCCCUUCACCGUCACACCCAUGACAACAUAGAAAACUCAAACUACAGAGGGGCCAAAUUGCACACUCUCAAAAAGUGUUUUUUUCCCUUUCUCUACGGGCCUGUUUAGCUGACCUGGCAAAUUUGUUUGGCCAAACUACAAUUUCAGACGUCGGCCCUGUCUAGCUGUUGACCUGAGAAAUUUGUUUGGCUAAACAACAAUUUUGGAUUUUAGAAGCCUGGUCCGAUGUAGUUGCUUGACCCAAACAGAUUUGCUAAUCCACCAACCAAACAUCCCCGGCAUGAUUGAUGUACUCAGGCGCUGUUUAGUUCCCUACCUAAAAUUUUUUCAUCCAAUCCAUCGAAUCUUUAGACACAUGCAUGGAACAUUAAAUGUAGAUAAAAAAAUAAACUAAUUACACAGUUUGGUUGAAAAUCGCGAGACGAAUCUUUUAAGCCUAGUUACUCCAUGAUUAGCCUUAAGUGCUACAGUAACCCACAUGUGCUAAUGACGGAUUAAUUAUGCUUAAUAGAUUUGUCUUGCAGUUUCCUGAGGAGCUAUGUAAUUUAUUUUUUUAUUAGUUUCUAAAAACCUCUCCCGACAUCGUUACGACACAUCCGAUGUGACACCCAAAAAAAUUUUAUCCUCAAACUAAACAGGGCCUCAGCCAUCCGAUCCAUUAUUGCAAUUUGGGUAUAGGCAACAAAAGGACACCACCAAGUAGUGCAAAGAAAAAAAUAGUAAACAUAUGUGGUUUGUGUAAUACAGUCCAUCACCAUCUUAUUCAUUCAUCAAUUCUUUGUUUGGCUUGUGGAAUAGAGUAAGUUUAUCUAUCACCACCUUAUUCAUAAAAAACUAAUAAUUAGUAUUAAUAUGAGAAAUGAAGUUAAUCCACUGAUUUGAUGAAUGGACCCAUGAUACACCGCCUCGUUUAGAAUAGGUCGAUUUCCCAAGCCAAACACUCAAUGCUCGACGGUUUAAGAAGUAAAGCAAACUGUUGGUGCUUAAGGGUGUGUUUUUACAUUUUACCUUAUGCUUUCCUCUUUGUCAAGUUUUUCUCCCAGUAUGUGUGUUUUCUUAAAAAAGAACUUUACUAUUAAAAAACAGAUGCGACAUAUAGGGCUCGUUUGGCUCGUAGCCACACAACGCCACAACUAAACUUCUCACUAAACGCGGCACGAGCACGCCCAUACGUGUUUGGUUGCUACCGCAUUUUGCGCGUGCAGAAGUGUGGUGCCGCUCGCUGUAUAACCUCCUCCCAUCUCUCGCUAAACUUUUGGCGUCCGUUUUGUUCGCCGCAUCUAAUAUGCAGCUGACUUGCGGCAAGAUGGCAUGCGCUGCGAGCGAAACAAGCCCAUAGUUUCUGUCUCUAAGAAAUAACACACAUCACUACAGUGGCGGAGCCAGGAUUCUUGUAGAGCCUGAGCAAAACGCAAUGUAAUACUAAUGAUAUAUUUAGUAUAGCUCUGACUCUUUCUAAGAUGGAUCUGGCUCCUCACAUGGACUAGCUUUUUUUUGGUAAAGUUAAGAUAUUUUGAAAAAUAUUUAACAAAAAUAACUCCACUAGUGACAAUUUUUUUAAUAAGUUGUAUUAGGAUUGUGAGGAACAAGGAGAAGUCAUUGUAACAAGCCAUUUUGUAGAUGCCCGAUUAGCAAGGCUCCUUGCAAGGAGCCAUAAGAAACUGAAAUCGAAGUCCUGCCAAACAAAAUCUAACACGUAAUAUAGAACAUUGUACAUAAAAGCAAAAUUAGAGAACCACAAUAAUUUUAAGCUAAUCCAUUCUCGCCUAACGUCUACUACUAAUAACCGCCUACAAAUUAAGCUCUACAAAGUUUGUACUGCGCUUGUUGAGUGGCUCUACAAAGGUCCUCCUACCAAUUAGCAAAGCAAUAUGCUUGAUGUGCUAGCCUAAAGAAUUCAUCAGUGCGAGAUCCUUCCAUGAUCUGUCUUCCUGACAUAUGAUCUCCAUGCUACAGAUAUUUCUAACUUCUGGCUGUAUUUCUUCACGAGAAAAAAUAUAUGCACAUCUGAUUAGGCAGAGAGAGAGAGAGAGAGAGCAUCAGCUCUGUAUGUGUUGCAGCUACCGGUAUAUUAGUAUUAGUAGCGUAUAUACGUAUGUGUUCACCAUGAGCCCGGCCACUGGCCCAGGGUGGCCGGGCCUUGGCUCCGCCGGUGCAUCACUAUAUUGCAAGAUUUUGUUUCCAAUUUAUCUUUUAUUUCAAUUUGACACCCUUAAACAAAGACCAAUGGAAAAAUGAUUCUGCAUGGAAUAGGAACCACAUUGUGAAAGGCAUCAUUCAUUAGUGUACGCAAUGUUAAUUUGUCAUUGAUAUAUUGAUUGAUGAGUUGCCUUUGUUGGUCCUGUUAUUAUUUCUGCUGUAAAACAGGAGUAGGAAUUUAGUUCCUUCUAUGUAUAGUUUUGCUGCUAUUAUAUUUAAAGAUAAACGAUUACAGUCUCAGUUUACUCAAACUAGACGCUAGCUCUGCUCCCGCGCAUUUUUCUUACGAGAUGCAUCAUCAGUUCAAAAUGUGUCCCGCCUUUUGUCAGUCACACGUACGUAUGGAAAGAAAGGUGUUUGCUCAGGUUAAUUCCUGGCAUAUAUACUGUUGAAUCCCACGAUGCACUGGAGACAGAGCUAGCCCUGUUUGGUUCAUCAGCAUCAAUAAAUAUAUGCAUUAUGGUACAGCAUAUAUAUCGGACACAAUUAAUCUACACAGGCGAUUGGAUCCCAUGCAUCCUUCUUAAAAGACGCACAGAAAGCUUGAACAUUGUCUGAGAGAAACAAUAAUCCUGGCAAAUUUGCCUCCCUGGCCGUCAAUGCAAGCCCAUGGCUGGGUCUUGUUUAGUUCUAAAAUUUUUUGCAAAAUAAAAAUAGUACCACUUUCGUUUGUAUUUGUAUUUGACAAAUAUUAUCCAAUCAUAUACUAACUAGACUCAAAAGAUUCGUCUCGUCAAUUCCGACCAAACUGUGCAAUUAGUUUUAUUUUUAUCUAUAUUUAAUACUUCAUACAUGCGUCUAAAGAUUUAAUGUGACGGGGAAUCUAAAAAAUUUUGCAAAUUUUUUUUUGAACUAAACAAGGCCCUGAAAAGCUAGCUCCAGUUUUUUUUCUCUCUUUUGUUCACGAGGAAAUCCUGCAGAAACCUGGGCAUGCAGUGCAGAAGCAGAAGCAGGCAGCAGCGUUGGUCCACAGGGGACCGUGUGCCUGCGCACGGCCGCGCGCGCCAUGGAGAUGGAAUGGCCAGGAGCAGGACACAGCGCUGUCACUGUGGUGAGACCAGGCAGACCGGGGAAAGUGGGCGGUGGGUGCCCGGCCGGUGCCGCGACGACGACGACUGUGCGCGUGGGGGCGGCGCAGCAGGCCAGCGGAUGAUGAUGAAAGGCUUCAGAUUUUCAGAAGUAGAAGAGCGCAGCAAAAGGCCACCCCCUCCCGUUGUUUGUUUCCUGCUUGUUCUCUAGCUCACCAGCCCCAGCAGCGAGCAGAGCAGCCCCUUCCAAUUGCUGACUGACCAUGCCUGCAUGCCGAUGCCGAUGCCGGUGCCGGUGCUGGCUGCACCGCUACCUGCUGUGCCGUAACAAAACUGCUCACUCGUCUGCUGUGCUGUGCGCCUUUGCAAGUAGCGAUCUGAGGAGCACAAGAGCUUGCCCGCGCCUUCCAUCCAUCAUAUGCAGAUGCAUGGCCCUCAGCUUUUUUUUACCGUACCUAGCUGCUCAAAGUGAUGAUUACACGCUGUGUGGCAACUACAACUUAGCUCCUCCACUCUCAUCUCCCUGCAUCAUCAUCAUCAUGUUGCCCUCUGGCCUCCUCCUCUUCUUCUCUACUCCUAUCUAAAUUUACAAAAAUGAGUUGCCAUUUACUAUUAGGCCCACACAGUUGCGUGUGAAGAAUGUACGGGCGCGUUUUUGGUUGGCUACCCAAACUUGCCACACCACGCCGCAGCUUCCGCAGCCAAGCUCCGGCAUGCAUUUGGUUCCCUUUCAAAACUUGCGGCAUGCAUAAUGGCGCAGCCUAGCCAUCGCAUUCUAGUUCAACUUGUGCGCCAAGAGCUACCGCGAUUGGAGUGGAUCGCCGUAGUUUUGGCACGCGGCCACAACUCCACGGGUGCGAACCAAAUGCGAUGUGUGGAGUCGAUAUUUUAGGCUUUUUUUUUUGAAACAUGCAUGAGAGUUUGCCUCAACAUACUCUUUGGUCUUGGUAGCCUAGUAGGUGUUGUAAGGGAAUAUUUUUCAACAUUCAUUUCUAAGAUACCUGCAUAGUGCGCUAGCAUAAUCUCUACAUAAUAUAAAAAUACAACUCCUGCAAACCAUCCAUCCUUUCGUGCCUGAAUUGAGAUACAUGUGGGUUGGAUCGACGUGCAUAACAAAAGGAAAUGGAGUACGGAGUGUCUCAAGAAGCUCCUACCAUGUGGUAAAAUCCCUAGACACAACUUGUUGGGACCAUGAUUACCCAAACUUCUGUGCACAGAAAGAUAGGUUGUAUACAGUAUCAAUCAAAUAUUAAAAAAAAGGCUAUACGUAGAAUAUAUCCCUAUCAACAAGUUGAGGGAUGCAAAUGUAAAAUACGCAACGACUCACUCACCUCAAAUCCUCAUGCUGCCGUUUUUUUUGGCAAUGUUUAUUACCCCACGUAAACAGCAUUACUGCCUGCCAACAAUAAAUAACUGGGCCUAAAUAAUUCAUGUUAAAGCCCAGCACUUACCAUUAACAGCCCUCGUAAUCCUCUUUCCGUUGCGCCUCUCUCUCUCUCUCUCUCUCUCUCUCUCUCUCCAUUGAAGAAGAUAGAAGAGCACCGCUAUUUAACAAGCUUCGCGUUACCGCCGCCCCAACCUUAUUCUCUCUCAGUCUCUCUCUCUCUCUCCCUUCCUCUCCUUCUACCUCUUCCUCUCUACCCGCCUUGUGCAAUUGCACCCCCUCCAGGCCUCCACCAACAACGAGGAGAAUUCGACCCCAAUUUCACAGCGCCGUCGAGCAAGUCCGUCGGUCCGCAAUGGCGUCGCCCGGCGACGAGGGUCUCCCGGCGCUGCCUCCCAUCAAGACGACAACGACACCGCUGCCGCCCCCGCCGCCGUCGUCCGCCACGGUCUCGGCCUCGGCCUCGGCCUCGACCUCUCCGUCGGCGGUGGACAGCGCGACGAAGGCCGCGGAGGAGGAGGAUCACGAGCCGUCGACGCCGACGUCGGAGGGGAGCAGGCUGCGGACGCCCGCCGAGUGCCCGCCGGCCCCGCGCAAGCCGCCGGCGCCGCGGCUGCCCGUGAAGCGGAAGCCGCCGCUGCCCUCGCCCGCGCCGGCGCGAGUGUUCGUCGCCGUCCCGCGCGACCUCUCCACUGUCUUCCGGGCGCUGCCUCCCAAGAAGCGGAUCCGGGUGUCGUGAUGCUGCGAUUUGCUGGCCGUGAUUUACCACCGGCGGCUUCCCAGGCUUGGUCAAUUUCUUCUCGGAGAAUUCUUCUGAGUUCUUGGCUUCAUCUUCUUCCCCCUCCUCUUCUCGUUUCUUUUCUCCUUUGGGUUACUGCUACCCACGGGCCACGGCCAUAGUAUAAUUAAAUUAUAAGUUUCGCUUGCUGCCGAAUCUGUAAAAUUGUUUGGGAAUUCAGCCAUUAAUUGUAGAUCAUAAUUCAGUGGAUAUAUAUAUGAAGCAGCGCACAUGAAGCCAUCAGCACGGUGACAAAAAAUGCAAAUUUGGGUUGGGUAGAUCCACCAUUUCUUACAACAAGACAUCCGAGUCCGAGAAUUGUUAAUUGUGAGAUAAUCAUCCUGUGACCAGUUUGAAUUUUUUCGAACUUACUUUACUGAAUGCUCUCGGCAGUGGACGGAUUAGAUACCCUGCCCAUCAAAUCAAUUCGGCAAAAGAAAAUGGCUCUGAUGGUGAGUGUACUUUUGGUUGUGUUUGUCCGAACGCAAGAGAGAGAACAGACAGAGCGAAUCUUCCAUUGAUCAUCAGGACACGACAUUAUUUUUUUUCCAUUUCAAUUUUCAUCAAUCUUUGCACGGUAAAAGCCUCUCUGAAGGCCUAAUUUCUCAAUUGGUCUCUCUACUCUCUGUCUAUAAGCGCCAAAACUAACUGUUCGUUUGAGCUCUUUCCAUGCACAAACUCAGGCACUGAGCUCAAGCUUUGUCUUUUUACUACUCCUAGUACCCUGUAAGUACAGUGGUAUGAACUAUCGUUUCAAGAACAUGCAGCUGAGAUAUGACUGGAAAAUCUGAGAAGAAUCCAAGCUCUCACAAGUUUCAAGAACAUGCAGAUGCAGCUGAUGGAUCAUGGCAGGGGAAAAUGCCAGGCAACAAAUUUUCCUCUCAGGGCCUUUUGUCUUGUGCUACAUUGGUCACAAUCCACAUCUACCAGAGCUCACAAGUAGUAGUACAGUUCACAGUUCAGGCAUAUAUACACAUUGCCUGGCAGCAGCACACACUCAGUUCAGGUAGCAACGUCCAAGUGUCCUGUAUAUCCUGAUGAAAACUGUGAAUUCCCAUAUGGAUUUAGCUGGUAAAAUCCAAGCCAAGCCAAGCCAAGCCACAGAGAUGGUUCUAAACCACAUUGGUGAUCCCAACCAUUUGCAUAUGUUACCUGCAGUGCACACUACUACUACUACUACUACUACUACUACUACUACUACUACUACUACUACUACUACUACUGUUUCUCAGGAACAAAGCUCUUGCUGUUACUACAGGAAAGUUCAGUUCACCCAGCCAGCAUGGCUUUGUGUCUCUAGAAGAAGAUGAUGAGAAAAGGCUGCCAUGAUGCCCUGAGGCUGAGGAUUCGGGGGAGUUGUGAGAGGGAGCUGAAAAGGCUCCCUCACAUCACAUGGGUUGUUACUUGCAGUUACGGUCAGUGCUGUUGCCUCAGGAACAGAACAGGUCUCGCCCGGGCACUUUUGUCUCAGGAUGACGCGAGGGAUCAGGGCUUGGAAAACCGUUCUAUCUGUUACUCCUCCUGCACUUCUGCAUCUUCAGUUUUUGUUUUUCACCUGCGGUAGAACCUGCUGCUGUGGUCAGCACAAGGAAUGUCUCCGAAUAAACCUACUAGGGCCUUGUUUAGUUCCCGAAAAAUUUUGCAAAAUUUUUCAGAUUCCCCGUCACAUCGAAUCUUUAGACGUAUGCAUGGAGUAUUAAAUAUAGAUGAAAAUAAAAACUAAUUGCACAGUUUGGUUGAAAUUGACGAGACGAAUCUUUUAAGCCUAGUUAGUCUAUAAUUGGAUAAUAUUUGUCAAAUACAAACGAAAGUGCUACUAUUCCUAUUUUGCAAAAAAUUUUGGAAGUAAACAAGGCGUAGCCUCUCUCUCUCUUUUUUUUAUUUCUGGGGCCUUGUUUAGUUCCGAAAACUGAAAAGUUUUCAGAACUGUAGCACUUUCGUUUUUAUUUGACAAACAUUAUCCAAUUAUGGAGUAACUAGGUUUAAAAGAUUCAUCUCGUGAUUUACAGAUAAACUGUGCAAUUAGUUUUUAUUUUCAUCUAUAUUUAAUACUUCAUGCAUGUGCCGUAAGAUUCGAUGUGACGGAGAAUCUUAAAAAGAUUUUGGUUUUUGGGUGAACUAAACAAGGCCCGGCUGUAAAAAUUUGUCCCGGCGAGAAGCUGAAACUAACCCCGAGAAAGAUACCAUUUUUUCCUGAUGUGAUUGAUGUUUAUUUUGGACACAUGACUCUGUCACUAGAAUGUGGGCCCAGACUAGCAAAUGGCAAAAAUGAUAGGGUGCACUACCUGCUAUUGCUAGUGUGCAUUUUUUUUUUUUGCCCUUCAGCUUCACCCUGCUCGAAUGAAAACUGUAGAUGAUGGCAACACGUUGAGUACAGAAAUUCAGUGUGCACACCUGGAUUUUAAACAGAGGUGAAUCGUAAAAGAGGAUGCCAAGUCAAGCGGGCAAGCACGUACGUACCUACGCAUGCAAGUAAAUCACCUAGGAUUCUUUCGACUGCGGACCGCGGUAACAACGGGUAUGUGCGUGUACUGGCAGCGAGGUAAAUAUGCGAAGGACUCAUCUGCCUUUUUUCCACGCCCCAUUGAUUUACCCAAGUAAUGCUUGCUCCCGUUUUCUCGCCAAUUACAUUCCCUGCGAUUUUUUAAAUUCCGUUUCGUGCUGUGCAUGAUGUCAGUGUGUAGCAGCUGCAGGGCCAUGAAGAUGUUGCGUAGUGCUGGACUGCUGGGUGGAAGAAUUCAUUGACCCUCUCUCACAACAUUGUUGGCAAGCUCAAGGACCUUAUUAGUUCAUCAUCGCAGCAUUUGAAACUUUCUCGUAAGCGUUUAGAAACGGAUUUCGAGCACUUGUGAUACAUGUAAAGAAAAUGACCGUCAACUCGUGGUACAUGUAAAAAAAAUACUGUCAAAUACCAUAUGAAAGCAUGGAAUUCUGUUCAAAUCAUUCUAAUUUCGGUCCCGGCAGAAAUGUGCGCUCUCUGUCAGUCCUUCCACCUGCAACAUCUCCACUCGUCCAAUAAUACUCUCGCUCGCUCCAUUAUUAGACAACUCCCUCCCACCAAAAUUGUUUUUCGAAAUUACAAAAGCUACAGCCAAAAAAAUGGCAUGACAAAUCAUAAAUCAAAACUGCUGUAACAGUGCGUGGCAAUCAUUACCGGAAUAGAAACAAUCUCACCUUCUUUUGUCGGAAUCCGGAUCACUCUGUCUCUCGCUGAGAGCUGCAGUUGCUGGCUGCCGUUUUCGGGUCGACAUGCAUUUGCUUCAAUUCGCAGUCUGUUGUCAUUUCAAAAAAGAAAACAAAAAGAGAGAAGAGAGAGUGAGAGCCGAUGGAACACCAGUUAAUUUGGAUGCUCGUGUAUGUACGAUUUGCCUGCCCUUUCUUCGGGCAGCAAUUGCAGCAGUAAAGCGUGAAGGCACAAGACAGGCAGCUGCACGUACAGUAGCUCCACAUGACUGUCCACCCAAACAAAAAAGAUUUGGGCUGCUAAUUCGCGGAUCCAAAUGUAUGGCCGCCCCUUUUAACCCACCAGCCACACCAACCAGUCCUCCUCUGCGCUGCAACAGUACGGUUUGCUGCAUUGGCCGCUAGGAAAUACUACUGUAACCCACCAGCUGCUUUAUUGCCGGUCCAAAAAACACAAGCUUUGUUAAUGUUCACUAACCACUUCCCCUGGCUCUUGCUAGUCCUAGUUGCUAGGACACAAAACCAGUAGCUACUAGGUAGCCAAGGUACACCGUGGAAAUUUUGCCCAAGGUACAAUUUUGCGCGCAAGGUACUGUGUACCUUGGCUAGCAGCUUCAAAGUACGGUGAAGUUUAUAAAUUCAGUCUUUUUUACACCCAACAUAUAUAUCUUGUCCAUUCUGUUAUCUAACAUAACAAGUGCAGCAAAAAAAAAAAGGAUUGGGUAGCAGUAGCUAGUAUCAGAGGAUUUGAGGUAAAAAGUUCAAACUUAUUCUGACGAAACUGUACAUGCUUCUUCCAAGCUGAGGCCUUGUUUAGUUCCGAAAAGUUUUCGCAUUUUGGUACUGUAGCACUUUCGUUUGUUUGUGACAAAUAUUGUCCAAUUAUGGACUAACUAGGAUCAAAAGAUUCGUCUCGCGAUUUACAGGUAAACUGUGCAAUUAGUUUUUAUUUUCGUCUAUAUUUAAUGUUUCAUGCAUGUGUUGAAAGAUUCGAUGUGACAGGGAAUCUUGAAAACUUUUUGGUUUUCGGGGUGAACUAAACAAGGCCUGAGAAGAAGUUUUGUAUAUGCGUGAUGUGUACUGACGCAUAAUUUUAUUGUCUCAUCAGCUGCAGUGCCAAAAGGGCUCUCUCCAAGUGGCGCGCAGCACUAGCGGCUAAUGAGCUGCGAGCCUGCGAGGAGUAGUGCGUGUGUGCUUACCUACAGGUCCGGACGAGUGCAGCGGACACCAGCAAGAUCCAGCAGGCAGCAGCCAUCGCUCUCAGUCUCAGGGCCCCUCUCGUCAGGCUUCCUUUCCUUUCUUCAGAGAACCUGAUGCUGCGUGUUCAGUCGUCAGCCGCUACGACAGAUUGAAACAAACGACUGACCUGAUUUCCCGUCUUUGUGAUCUUGUGACGAUAAUCAGAAGGAAGUUUUUUUUUAUAACAUCCUUAUUAUUAUUGACUUAUCGUCACUGUAUGAGUGUUCAGGGGCGAAGCUAGCUGUUACUUAGGGGUUGCAAAUGCACCCCCAAAAAUUGUAGAAACAGUGAUUAGGUCCAAAAUUUCACCAUAUAUGCACCCCUAUGAAAGAUAUCUAUGCACCCACAAGCUAAGUGCACCCCCCUCUAAUUUGCUCUAGCUUCGCCACUGUGAGUGUUUCUGGUUAUGAAUAGUAACGGUGUGUGUUCGAUCUCAUCAGGAAAUGUAAAGCUAGCACACAGAGACGACGACGAUGAUGGUCAAGUAGUACAUUAGUACAUUACAUCAUCGCCAGGGACCGCUGGUCGACCGGCGGAUUGGAUCGAUUUUUCAGAGGUAACGAGAACGCAUGAUGAUGACGAGGAGCUAGUAGUGCCGUGCGAGCCUUGGCAUGCAAGCAACGUGAUGGAUGCUCUGGAGAUGCUGCUGCUCCAGCUCUCUUUAGGCUAAUCUAGCUUUUGACCGGCCGCUAACGAAUCGAAGCCUGGCUGGCUUUUGUCCGCAACAAGGAAGAGGCUUAGGAUGCCGACGUGACGUACGGGUUGCCAUGCCCAUGCAUCUCGGCGGCCCAGCCCCAGCUGGAUGGAUAGAUCAGGGAGAGGGAUCGAAUGCAUUCCCGAAGACGAUUGUUCUGCAUGCAUGCUUUGCUUUUGUGCAUGCAUAGGGCGUCCAUCCCCAACCCCAAUCCUACGGCGCCGCUGGCGCUGGGUCCCUGUUGUCGUGGUCGACUGUGUCGACCGAGCCAUGCAUCCAAUGCAAAGCCGCCGGCCGCCCAGAAGCACCGGGAUGAUGAUCCAUGCAUGUUUCCCUUCACCGGCUGAUGCUGUACUAGCUAGCUGAUGUCUAGCUAAUUUUUUUAAAAGCUCUUGUGACAUCGUGCGGCUCGCUCGUGUCCAUGAUCGUCGAUGCACGGCCGCGCGGGAGUGGGGCGAAGAGCCAGCGAAUCACAGGCGGUGGAUGGAGUGACCGUGCAAUGCCCGCGCGGGUCUAGUCGUCGGCGACGGCAAGAGGGAAAAAAAAAAGAAGGGGGCCGGGGCCGUUGAUUUUCUGCCCUCGCGCACGCACCCGGCCGGCCGCCGACUUCAAUAUACACACUACAGCUACAGGGGCUACAGCAUGCAGCGCGAUCGUCGCGCCCGGGUUCCGGUCCUCUCGUGUGAGUGCACGGUGAAUCACCCGCGCGCGUAUCUGAUCUGUGUCGCACGUGUGCCAUGCUUUAAUCUGUCUGUCUGUCUGUCUGUCUGGCGGACCGACAACGUGACACGGCCCGUGGGCGACCCAGACCCACCAGAAAAAAGCUAGAAAACGGCCGGGCCGGCCGGGGGAUCGUCGAUCGGGAGAGUGAAGAAUUGAAGACGAUCGUCGACCGACAGCUGCUUGCUUGGCUUGCGCAAAUUAAAGGACGACGAGCACGAUCCAGCGAUGGAGAUCGAUCGAGACAGCUGCCACAUACGGCGAGACAAUUGCACUCGCCGUGUCAUGCAUUGUCAUCUCAUCUGCCGCGCGCAGCAGACGCGCACGGUUAUUAGCUAGCAGCUAGGUGUCCAAGCAGGCCGCGCGCCGGCCCGCCAGCGCGUACGUGUAAUGAGCAAUGAAACGUUCCGUGGAACGACCGACGAUUUGGAACGCAACGGAUCGUCGUGUAAACCGUGCUGUCACCGACCGAAGAUCGAUCGAUGAGUGUCGGCAUUGCAUGCACAUGCAUGGAACGUACCGGAUGAUCGAGCACCACAUAAGCCGGCGGCCUCUCGUGUGAUCCCCGCGCGGUACAGUACUGUUAAUAAGGACCUCUAUGGAAAACGGUGUAUGCAAACAAGGCAUGCGCCUGUCUUUCGGGCCGGAGAAGAGGAACGCCUCACGUGCUGCUGCCAUUUGGAUUGGAUAUAUUCUGGCGUGUCGACGACGACGGCCGGGUGACCCGUACGGCGAGGCAGCCGUGACGAGUACGCAUUCCAUCUGAUCUCGAUAAACAAGGGCUUUAUUAGAAAAAGAAGGUCGUAUUCCGCAUCAUUACGACGGGCAAAUCGCGUAUAUGCUACCACCUCUCACGCCGGUGUGAUAUGAUUGUCACGCGCGCGCAGCAGCUACUCUACUCAUCGAUCAGCCGGCUCAAUCAUUUCUUCCAGGUCUUAGAUCUAGAUUUCUACUAGUAGAAAGACGACUAGAUAAACUACACAGGUCGACCACAGAGACCCAGAGUCUAAUAAAUAAUAAAUAAAAUGUAUAAUUGAGCAACUGACGGGACUCUAUUUUUUCAGCUCUGGGCACCAGCACUGCUCUAAAAGUGCAGCUACUUCACACGCAGUCAUUGCAGUGCUUCCUUCAGACUAGCUGAGCAGUGAGCACAGUGCCACAGUCCUAGUGGCCACCGGGACAGGAGGGGCAUAGCAUCCGCCAUCAAUUCAGAUUUCAGAGUGUUAGCAGGCAGCUCACAUAUGCAGUGACUGUUGUGCCUUUUUCCCCUGAUGUGGCAAACAGUGGGCUUCCAGGUCUGCUAGAUCUACCAUCAGUCCACUCCAAUAACAUUGGCAUCACAAGGGCAAAUGAAACAUCGCAGAUGCGUCGCGCAUGCUUCACUCUGCAUGCAAAACAAAGAGAAUGGUUUCAUUUCAGCGCCAGAAUUUGAUCCCAAAUGACCUGCUACUGCCUAACCAUCACCAGUCCACGCCGAGGCAAGCAUCAGAACCUUGACAUAUGUUUCAUUUCAGGCUCAGUUCACCAUACAACAUAGGCAUAAUAAGCCUAAUAACCAGUCAAGUUUCGCAAUCUUGCGUGACAUACAGGUAGGGGUCCUGAUCUGGCUGUGGGCAGUACAAAUCAUCUGCAGCUGGCCAUGACAGUGCCGCCAUUGGGGCUUCCUCGCCGUCAUCAACAGCAACGAACUCUUCGUCGUCAUCCGAAGUUGGUUCGGCAAAUGGCGCGUCUAGGCUCUCCCAGUUCAGGUCAUCUCUGCAGAGAAGGCUAGGUUCUUCACUGACCCAUUCAUCCAAGACAUCGAUGUUGUCAAGGCUGAUAGGAUCUAUGGCAUCCUUAAGCUUACGCUGGUUCCUGCAUGACAGCACUGAACUGUAAGUAGCAAGUCAGGAUGGUACAUAUAUGACAUGGUUCCAGUCUUUGUACCUUUCUCGGAGCUUCAAGUUGUACCUAACAAAGACAACAUCGCUUAACCUUGAACGCUCAAGCCUGCUUAGCUUCCUGGAAUGGAGAUCUUUGAAUGCAUCCCAGUUCCUUUCGCACCCUGUUGCGCUGCAACAUUGGCUGAGGACUCGGAUUGCAAGCCUUUGAAGUUCUAUAGUUCCAUUACCAAAGUUGUCCCACCAUGCAACUAAGAAUAAACAAUUAUGUGGAAACGUGAGAUUAAUGUAUCCAGGCAAAGACAAUUCCAUGGAAAAUGGAUCUUUUUCCAGUUUUAUUUAGGAAAGAGUAAACUUAACCAACACACCAAUAUUUGGCCUAAUAAUAGUCACAAACCAAUGGAAUACUUUCUGUUGCUAUUUCACAAACCCAACAAUACCUGGGGCCAUGGAGAGAUGGUGGUCCACGGUCCACCCAAAAACUCCUUGGCCCAAAGCCCAGGUAUGGGAAAAAAGAACUCAUGUGAGGUGGGAAAUCUGGUAUUGUAAUCUUCUUCCAACUACUGUAGCCAUGUAAGCUUCUUUUAAAUCAAAUUUCAUACUAAACUGUUGAUUUUAAGAUGUUUGCAAGACACCUUUUUAACCUAUCUUACUUAACGUGCUUUUAGUAAUAAAUUCUGUACUCCUAUUGUAUAUUGGCACGUUACAAUUUGCAGUACUUAAACAAUUUACAUCAAGUCAUACCCAAAAUCCUACAUACGCCACUAAUCUGGCUUUCUUCCCAUAAUAAAACUGCAAAUUUUGCCACUUGCUUUUUCCUAUCCACCUGGAUCAGCGGGAGGAAAAAGAAAACGGAACAUAUUUCCGCUUGCCACCUCAACUGGGUCCAGGAGAACUCUUCAUUGUUAUCCUCAUCAUCAUAUACUAGAUUAUUUUCUCACAAAAUUUUAAAAAACAAUUAUGUUAAUGCAGCAUACACCCUGCUUGGCAGCCAAAAUGGGUUGCCUUUUGGUGUCCCUAUGACAUGUGGUACCAGGUAGACAUGAAAUGGAGUGAAGCAAAAUGUUGUAGUUCUGUGAGGAAGCCUCAAUUAUUGAUGGGUUUGUGACUAAUGGUAUCUUUAUGUAAUUCACUUUGUACAAAAGUUCAAAACGAAUCUAACAUAGAAGUCAUUCUUACCUGGAUUAAGUUUCUCUCUUUGACGAAUUGCAAUUGGAAGGCCAAAGUCACCAGUUGAUUUCUUAUACUCUUCAAGCUGAAGAAAUAUCUUAUCUUGGACAUCGUCAUCAGGGACCAAACUAGUGAUUGUCUUAAUAAGGCCCCUAAAUGCAUAGCUUUGCAUCUUAAAAGAGGGGCUAAAGUAAAUACAAGGAUUGAAAAAGCAUCCUGCUGCAUGCAAUGGACUAUGGAGCUGCUUCUCCAUCCUCGCAUCAAUUACUCGCACGUAUGGUCCAUACACACAGGCCUUGUGCAUCAUUCUUGCCCUUAUCGACUCCUUUGCCUUUUCCAUUGCAUCAUAAAUAUAGCCCAUGGAAGGUUUUUCAUUACUAUCCACCAAGCGCAGAACGCGCAACAGGGGCUCAGUGACCUUAACAACAUGUUUGCUCUUGGCCCAGAAGUCAACAUCUUUCAUAAUAAUAGUUGUGACAUCUUUUCCAACACCACCUUUAGCAUAUGUUGAUUUCACCCAUUUGUUGCUGGUAACCAUUUGGCGGAGCUCUUUCUCAAAUUUAACAAUGCUUUGGAGACUAAGAAAAUGAGUAGCAAAUCUCGAGAUGCCAGGACGACACAGAUCUCUACCAUUUGUGAACUCUUUCCUCAUUAAAGACAAAACCCAAGCAUGAUUAUAUACAAACUUUGUUAUCUUUCUGGCUUUACCUAAAGUUUCAUUGAUCAUAGGAAAAUAUCUAGGAUCAGCGAAAUUCUCCAACAUCAAGUCAAUGCAACGCGCUGCACAUGGAGACCAAACAAAAGUGCCAUAUCUUUCUUCCAGAACCUUAACAGCAGACUUAUAUCUUGCAUCUAUGUCAGUGAUAAAUUGAACAAUGUUUUGUGGCCCAACUUCUCUAAUAACUUGAUCAAAUAUCUCAAGUAAAUCAAAUUUCUCUGUCGAAGUAUCUACUGACUUUAAAAACAUAGUACCUCGUGGGCAGUAUACAAGAAAAUUGAUUAUAGAACCCUCUCCAUAGUCCUUUUGUCUGUCAGCAAUAAUUGAGCAACCAUGUAAACUCCAUUCUUUCUUUAGAUCAUCCAGAUAUUCAUGAAUGCCUUCAGCAAUUUGUUUCAAUAAUGGAUUGCGUAAGUCAUGAUAAGAUGGUCCCUUGAAGCCCAGUCCAGCAGAUACUAUUGCAUCUAGCAUAGGCUGAUAGAAAGGAGAAUUCGCUGCACUAAAGGGUACAUCUGCAUCAUACCACCAUCUAGCCAUAGCAAUUAUUGCUUCAUGUAACAGAUCAUUUGGAGCUUCUGUACCAUCUACACCAUGUUGAACCAUGUCUUCUGAAGUCAUAAAUGCAACACUGCUUGGCUCUGAACCUGUGGUAGCUUGGGGAGGAAAGUAUCCUGUUCUUCGCUUCCUUGAUGGUCUGAAUAGGCUUUCAGAGCCUCCCUCAGUUGAGAAAAUAGUAUCUGAAGAAUCUUUGACGCGUGAACUGCGGACAUCUCUAGUUUCAUACCGUCUUUCUUCAUUUCUCCACUUCUCAUCAAUUUGUUGUAUUAUCUGACGUUUCACAUCAUCAGGCACCUUCUUGCAAGAUUCAACUUGGCCUGGAACUCCAGCAAGAUGAUAUUUAAAGCGAGUAAUACCGCCACCUCCAAUCUUUUUGCCACAAUGAAGACAUAUGAUGGCAUUUCUUGAACUAGCAUCCACUUUUGCGUGAACCCAAGCAGGAUCCAGUGGCCUCGAAGAAGCCGAAGGUGAUGCCAUCAAGGUGACUCCAGUUGAUGCGGUACCAGCUACCUGAGUUCUAAUAAAGACAGAAUAAAAAAAAGUACUUUAGAACUUUUACCAUACAUCAAUUGUGUAUCAUUACACAUUUGUUCCAUGAUUAAUCAAAGAUUAUAAGAGCACUACAGUUUUCAUAGGAUAAUAACUCCAGCAGAGUACAUAUCCAGGAAAUAAGCUGCACACUCUUUCAUUUUAUACAGUCUACUAUGCAUUUGUUCAAAUUUAAAAAAAAAAGUCAAUGAAGCAGGUAAAAAUAUUUAUAUAUGUUCAUUGCACAGCCUAGAACCCUGGAAUAUAGCAGGCAAAAUAAAAAUCUAGAACACCACAAAAGUGUGCAGUCCUUCGCUUGUGGACCUGUGGGGUUAACUGUGGCAGCUUCUGUUACAAGGUUAGGCUAGGAAAAGAAAAACAACGACCUCAUGAUUCAAGGCGUCUCGCUGUAAAUAGAACCAGUUACAGCUUAGAAGAAAAGCAGCUAAGAUUUAUUCCAUGACUACAAUAGUUUUUUGAAAGGACACACAAGCUCCGAGCUUGCGAACAAUCCAGGCGGUAUCCGGCGAUACCUGACCUCGCGUGAUGAAAACCGGCCGGUUUCGGAAAAAUCCGAUCCAAACUCGAGCCCUUUAUUUUUGGCUAUGAAUUACACAAGCUACUGGAAAAGAACUGAGUUCAGGUAUAUAGAAUAAAGUACACAGCCUCACCUCUCUUCAGUCAUCAAGCGUUCGAAGGCUUCGUCCUUGGGGGCGAGCUCCCCCAGGCGGCAGAUCUGGUCCGCUAGAUCGGAGAGAAGGAAACCGGCGGGAGACUGCGAGGAUUCGGGCGAGAAACCGGAAGUCAUCCACAGCGGUGCGGUUGGAUUCUGGGAGGACUGGGGAAUGGCCGAAUAGCCGAAUAGCCGGGGUCAGGGUGGGGCAGGACGACGGCUACCGGAGAAGAUCGGCUAAGUUUUCGUGGAAUCGGGCGGCUGCCGCGUCGGUUUCCAGCGGGGGUGGGCAGGUGGGCUACCCAAUAUCAUUUUUAGAGCAACCCAACCCACCUGCCCUAAUUCCAAAUCUGAACUUGAUCAAAAAAUAAACUCCAACCUAUCCUCUCAAAUUAUAGUUUCAGAUUCCUAGAUCCAGCAGCCCCUAUCCCCCUCUCAUCCAUGGGCCCCACACCACUUCUCCUUCUUUUCCGUCGACGCACGCGCUUCGUCUGUGGUCCACACGCGGGGUGGCGGCGCGCAGGCGAGCUGGUGGCCCAGCGCGGGGCGGCGGCGCACAGGCGAGCUGGCGGCCCAGCGCGGCACGUCGGCGAGCGGACGGGCAGCCUGGACAGCGCGCGACGCUAGCGAGCUCCGCCGGUGCAUAGCGGCCACCGCUCCGUCGGAUCUGUUGGCGGCCUCCUCCCCUGGAAAGAGCGCCACCGCACCCUCCACAGAGAAGCUCGAGCGCGCCGCUCGUUCCUCAUGCGCGGGCGAGCUUCCUCCCCGCCGCGAGCUCCCUCUCUGCCCGCCAUUUCCUCCCACAUGUGCCUCUGUACGUGAGAUACAGCGCUGGAGCACCCGCCUCGGUCGGGCGAGUCUCGAGCGUGGCCACCCGCGGCCUGCCGUGAGCUCCCUCCACCGCAGAUGAGCGUGUGAACGAUUGGGGAAGAAAGGCUAUCUCAAUGACAUGUGGGUCCCUCUGGUCAUAGUCUGCUAGUAUGAGUUUAGGGGCUUUAUUUGACUAGUAUGGUUGGAGUAGAAUCAAUUCUUGGACCUAGAAAAAUAGGAGUGAGCACCCAAAUCAAAAGUAUAAGCCUUGAUUUGGGUACUUCGGCUGGAGUUACUCUUAGGCCUGUACAAGGAAGGGAGCUACUUCCAUACUAAAUUAUAAGUCAAUCAAGAAUCUUAGAGAGUUAAAAUAUCUCAAAUUUGACCAAAUUUAUAUAAUAAAAUAACUAUUAUAAUACCAACUAAGUAUCAUUAGAUUUUUCCUUAAGUAUAUUUUCAAUACUCACUUUAUGUCACAAAUCUUUGUAUUUUUCUCUAUAAUUUUGGUAAACUUUAAAAUGUUUUAACUCUUUAAGAUUUUUGUAAUGAUUUAUAAUUUAGGAUGAAGGGAGUAAUAGGCCUCUAAUGAUCGGAUGCAAUUUAACUCUCCAUUUUUUAGUUCAAACACAUACUUCAUACAAAUUCAGCCCAGAUUUUUUGAGGCCCGAUUCUUAUAUUUUUUAGACCAACAUUCAGGGACCCAUCAUGGCAACAAAUAUACCACUAAAAUAUAAAAGACACAUAUAUAUAUACAACAAAUAAAAGUAAAACAUCAAUUUUAUAUCAGUUGAUGGGGUAGGACGUAAUAUAGACUUUGAAUUCAUUUAGGGAAAUAUUUUGCAUCGGACAUACCGAAAUAUGUUGAACAAUGUCCCUGACAGAGCCUUGAUUCAGAACAUCUCUCAAGUUAAUUAUAGUUGCUACCACAAGUCCAUAAAAAGAUUACAGAGGGCAAUUUGGCCAAAAUCCAGGGAUAACAUUUUUUUUUGAAGACGAUUCCAGGGAUAACGUGGAGCCCUGAUCACCUAAAACUCCAUCAGAUGGAGUAACCAGCUGAAAAAAAAGGAACUCAUGCUAUUGAUUCUUUCGGAGCAAAUGUUAAAAUGUUACACAAAUUGGUGAAAGGAAAAUGCUCUGUUACACCACCCUUUAUCUUCUAGAGUUCAGGUUGGCAUUCAUGUUGGUGGCUGCCAAGUCCCUGGCUUGAAAGUGGCGCCAGUUCCUGUUGGUUCAGAUGACCUGAAGACAAAUAAACAUGAGUUUGAUAUUUGAAUUAAUGUAAUCAGAUGAAGACUCGCACAAAAGAAAAGACAAUAGCAGAUUGUUGUUUCUCAUGUAACUCCUGUAUCUGCUGGAGCCAUGAAUAAAUCGAUGCAAAUUUCGAUAGCUCUGCAAUACUCAAAUUGAAGUUUGACCGAGGUGUCUAUAACAUAUUGUCAGAUCCAAUAGCAAUUACCAUGAUAUUAUAAUACCCAACUUCAACCUAAAAGUUGAACUUUAUUGUGCAUGUUCCUUGUGUGUGCGCGCGCCCACACAAUGUUUUAAGCAUAAAUUAACAGCAUAAAUGUUCUACCCAAGAAAAUUGCAAAACCAUGCUGAAUGUUUGAAGGCAGAAAUAAAUCAAAAGCCAGGCACAAUUGAAGCACCUGUCAUUGUCUGUCGUAGCAUCUUCUGUAUGAGUUGCGUCCUUAGGCCUAGAUACCUCCUCAGGUCCUAAAGUGUUAACUAAAAUGUCAUCAUGCAUUUCAAAAGUAUUCAUACUUAUAUUCCCAGUGAGAAACAUAGUUAAAUAAGGUAAUGUUACCUUUCUGCUGAUCUGGAGGAGUACCUGAGAACUGCUGCUUCACAAAACUUUGGAGAUUUGGAGAUUCAGCUUUCCCUGCAUUUGGAGGAAGAGGAACAUCGGCAGUCAAACAAUCAGGGUGAAAAAAGGAAAAGCAUUAUGAGAUUCUUUCCCCUUCACCAACACAACAGGGAGAAACUACAAUAAAAUUAAUUGAUAAUAUGAGAAAUUAUAUAACUGUCAAGUAUCACAACACGGCAUCAAAUGAUGUCAAUAUAUCAGACCCCUAUUGUGGUAAAUAUAUUAGAUAUAUAAGAGAGCCAAAAAGAGAAGAGAGGGGUAAGAGUUGAAAGUGGAAUUGUGAUACAGGAAGUAUACUAAAGAAUCCACAGAAAGCUGUAAGUGCAUAUAAGCAAGGAUUGAAGUACAAGGUACCAGAAAGAACGUACCAAUUUUCUUGACUGGUCGCAUACCGGUUUUUCUUUCCUCUUCUUCUUUCUUUUUGAGAACUUGAUUGAACACAGAUUAAAUAUAUUAGUGGAGAAACACAGAUUAUUGGCCAUCAACUAAGAAAGAUGACAGCUUUAUGAAUAACCAAGGCUAAUUAAAAAUUACAUGCAUAAGGAUCUUGAUUCUUGAGGAAACAAAACUUAAAAGAAGCUGUGACACCAUAAUAGCAAACAUAUGCUGGUAUGAAUAAGAUCUUUUACUGCACUGCAACUAGAACGAAAGCUCUUAUGAAUAACCUAGAGCUUUGAUACCAUAUUACAAAUAAAGGGAGACUAAACUGGAUGAUUCUAUUGAGGCCCAAUGGGACUAUAUAUAUAUAGUACAUGAGGGAAUAAGAGGGAAACCCUAGACUAGGAGAUUACACUAAUACCCUUGACUAUUAUACCUUAACAAAAGCUUCAUAGCUGCAGAUGUAUCCAGUACAUUACAUUGUAACACUGUUCUCUAAAAAGAAUUAAGGCCAGAAAAAGUAGAACCAGCACUUCCAACAUGUUUUCCAUUGAUGAAUUUAAAUAGAUAUAGCAGGCAUCAUCGAAUUUGGGUCAUUAGUAGGGAUGCAAGUUUUGCUUUCUUUGGGACAUCAGAUCAACCCAAUACUCAAUCGAACUAGUCCAGAUUUCAAAGGAAGGGAAGUGGGGUAAAAAUUAACUAGCUAACUGACCCACAACUAUUUGGUGUCAGCUCUUGCAUCCAUAAUCAUGAGGUUAAUAAACGAAAAUUUUAAGUGCACAACAGCAUAUCCUGUUACUUUUCUAACCACCAAUUACACCCCAAAACAACUGAAUAUCAGUGUUAACCUUCUAUGGAUGGAAUGCUUGCAAAGUUGUAAUAGAGAUCAAAGUUUACACGUGACCAUGUUUCAUCCAACCGUAUUGAGGAUUCGUGGCACAAAAUACGAAACAAUUUCUAUUUACAAAAUAAAAAAUUAGCAUCAAAUACAAGAAACACACAUAUCUAACCAGCAUUUGAUUGCGUUUUUCUUAGUCUUAUCCAGCGCAUGGUAUUGAAAUUAGCAUAGAGUGCAUAUGAUGAUACAUAUGGGCUACCAUAAAGUAGUUGAGGCAAUUAACAUGGAUUACUCAACUGCCAAUGUCUAUGAAAACAUGUUUGGACUCUUGCUCAGCGCAGCAGCAUGCGCAAUGCACAGUGAGGCUUAUUAGUAAAAUCAUACAUGAGUACACAAGUAGGAAAUGCCAUAUACAUACGUGCAAUGUUUUGCUUGACACGUUCACGCCUUGCCUCCAGCUCAGCCAAUUCCUGAAAGGCGCAACAAUACAUCAGCAUCAGAUACAAUGACCAUGUUGCUCUCAUCGUGAAGUUUGAAUUGAUGAUAUAAUAACAAAAAACAAAACUUUGAAGGACAAUGUGCUGUCUCACGUUCUUGCUCUUACCUCUGGUGUUGGAGCUUUCUUCCUUUGGCCAUUCAGCCAGCAAAUCCACUCGACUACAAGCACGACAUAACUAUGAGAUGUUGUGUAUGCAAUCAACAAAUCCAAGCAUAUAAUCUAGAAUCAAAGCCACAAUCCAUACAUGCCUGCAAAUACGGUGUCGUAUUAGUUAAAUUGGAAUUCUCCAUUUCUUCAAUCACAGUAUCACAUUCAGACCACAAAAUCCUCAUCGGAAAAACGAGAAGGAAGGGAGGAAUGUAACCUGGAACGGUGGUCGAGUCCUGGUCGGCGCCCUUGAACUCCACCCACCGCCUCUCCUUCACUGUCCACAUGUUCCGCAAUCAAGAACAACAUGAAGAAGAAGAAGAAGAAGAAGAAGAAGAAGCAAAAGCAACAGCGUCGAGAUUUGCUUAACCGGCAUUCACGUGCCUUCCUCCUCCCCAAAGGAGAGUAGGAGACCAGGAGCGGGGAAACUAGAGGCAAGCUCGUGCAAGAAGGGGGGAGCAGGAGGAUAGGAUGAGCGGGGUGGACGGGGACACGUACUGGCGCCGUCGACCUCCUCGACGCGGGUGAAGUAGCGGUUGCCGGCCUUGUCGACGCCCACCUGCGUCCGCGAUUGGAACAUGCCGAGCAGCCGCGACAGCAGCCGCUUCGACAUCGCUGCUUCCGAAUCUUCCCCGCACCCGCCUCGCUAGAACAGGUUGCCGCGUCCCCUCUUCGUCGCCUGCGGCUCGCCGGAACCGGUCGCCAGCUCCGUCUCCGAUGGCCGUCGGUGUGCCGUCAGUCUGGGUGUCUGGUCCACAGACGGCCCACUACACCGUAGCUCAACUGAUAAUUAGGUUGGGCCAUGUUUGGGCCGUUUCCAGGAUAGGACUUGCAGCCCAAGACCUUAACGCGCAGGACGGGGGAGCUGGGCGCCGGAGUCAGACGAGACUCGAGAGCCCGAAGGCCGAAGCCCCCCACAAAAUCGUCGGCGGCGACGACGCGAUCUGGGCACCUGCGCUGCGCUCCUCUCGCUCGUACCGUGUGCUCAAAGGCCAUGCGGCGGCACCAGCGGCUUCGCCAUCCCCGAAUCCAAGCGCGCGGUAUGUUUCCCUAGCUUUCUCGAUUUUUGAUCUUUGGUCUACCUCCGUACGGGUGCCAUGGCGUUUACAACCUGUGUUCAGAUUGGGAGGAGGUAGGCAUGCAGUAGGGAGGAGGUAGCCAUACAUGUUUCAAUGUUUGGUUUGGUUGACAGUAAAAUUGCUGCUGUUUGACUGUUUCUUACGCAAAAGUUCGAUGGAAUAAACAAAUCAAUGUAUUUAGUUAAAAGAAAAGUAAACCAAUGUGCUGGCCGCCGAAAAUUGGUGUGUUUGAUUCUCUUGUUGUUCUUUGGUUUUUGGCUGAACUCUUUGGUAACCAUGAUGUAUUGCACCUCAGAUGGAUCGAUUGUUUCCGUGGCUGCGGAAGAGGGCUUGCCUUGUCAUCAAGAUUGUAACUCUCGAGAAGGCAAAAUAAGUAGAUAUUCAGGGCCCGCCCUUCCUGAGGUACGGCAUAACGGUUGCAUAUGUAAUAUCAUCAUAAUUACUGUUAGUGCAAAACUUUGGAUUGUGGGAGACUAAACUUCCAGAUGGCAUUUGACAUAUGUGUCCCAAGCUUCCACACAGAGCUUACAAUGGCAUAUAGAUAUCACAACCUUUGUAUGGAGAAAGGGUGAUACCUAUAGUUAUUUUAUUUCUUUACAGAAUGUAUAUGAAAUUAAAACAUCUCUGCAUCAAAUUAAUUUUAGCUUUUCCAUGUUAGGCAAUUUUGUGAGGUUUCAGGUUUCCUUCAGGUUAUUAUGCCACCCUUUAAGUUACCAGGAGGAGAUGUUGAAAAGAAACCUCCAAAAAAGUGUCUGGAAUGCAGAAAAAAAAAGGGUUUCAUACUUUCAUACAUGACACAAAUUAUUGCAUACCUCCUGCUGGAACUGCAUACCUGUGAGCUUUCCACAUUUGUAUGUUCCAGCAGAAUGCUUGGCCUUAGAUCAUCUAGAGUCAGGGCAGUUAGCCAUAUCUAGUGUUUUUUUAAUCGCUGGCAGGACUUCUGCCAGGCAAAUAUAUUAAUAGAGAGCAUAUCUAUUAGUUUAGAUUUGUUUGUCUUUUACUUAAAUAAGAAAAAGAUACUUUUCAGGAAUUGGAGUAUAGAAAAGCAAGCCCCAAUAUUACAAAUUCUGGAAGUUGUUAUACACUUCAUGAGCAAUUUGUCCUUAGCUUUCUUCUGUUAUAUAGCACUUGUCAUUAUUUGCCAGCAUUGUACCAACACUUGGAAAGCAAGAGUGACACAUUCAUAUAUGAAGUAUGUUUCCUUGAUACUUUUCAUAUCAAUAAACAUCUCUUUAUGUGGUUCAUGUUCAUAGCCUGAAUGUCAUCAUCAACCAACAAUAUUACUCUGAAAGUCUGAACAUGCCAUCUCAUCGUUCAACCUAGCUUGAUGCACACACACCUUUGUAAACGUAACUAUAGUUACGGUAGAAUUGCCAUCAGUGUUACGUUAUCCUCCACAGAGCACCUGUGAUAGAAUGCUAGCCCAUGUAUUCCUGUUGGUUUGGCCUUCCUAUUGAAGUAAUUAAUCAUGAGCUUGUUUAGUUUCAUCAUUGAACAUCUCCUAUGGUUGUGCCUGCAGGAUAUCUUGCUUCAUAUACAUUCUCUAUUGCCACUUCGAGAUGCUGCCCGUGCUGCUUCCGUGUCUCGUGCAUUUCGAAAUUCCUGGAAGUGUCAUCCCAACCUCUACUUCAGUAAUGAAACUAUGGGCUUGAAAGAUACUCUGCAUGGACCUGAGCAAAUGCAAUUGGAUUUCAUCAGCACUGUUUAUCACAUUCUGAAAAGGCACUCAGGCACUGGCUUGAAGACAUUUGGGCUUGAAAUAUCUAGUCAUUACGACCCAUGUCAUCUUGAUAGCUGGCUUCACCUUGCUCUUUCAUCUGGGCUUGAAGAACUCAUCAUUGAGUUGUGCAGUGGCCUAAAGAUGUGGUCAGGCAUGUGCAUGCCAUGGUACAACUUCCCAUGCUCCCUUUUAUCUGGCAAGAGUAGAGACUCGAUUCAGAAUCUUCGCCUUAGCUCCUGUGCCUUUCAUCCUACAGUUAGAUUUUGUUUGAGAAGCCUGAAGAAGUUAUAUCUUUGUUCUGUGAGUAGCACAGAUGAUGAGUUACAGUGCAUUCUAUCAGAUUCCUUUGCUUUGGAGAGGCUGGAACUCCUGAGUUGCAGCAAGAUAAUUAAUCUUAAGAUACCUUAUCUGCUGCAGCGCCUCAGCUAUCUGGAGGUGAAAGCAUGCUUGAGUCUAGAAGCGAUACAGAUCGAAGCUCCAAAUAUAUCCACUUUUCGCUUUUCACGCCGUAACCCUGUACAACUCUCACUUGGAGAAGCAUGUCAAGUGAAAGACCUAUACGUGUCCCACUAUGGUGCCGUCUAUUUUGCUCGUGUGGACCUUCCACUGAUUGCACCAUGUCUCGAGAUUCUUACCAUUGAGUCGCAUAAGGAGGUAUACUCUAAAAUUUAUGGUAAAUUGGUAAUUAUAGACUAGUGAAUGCAUAUGGUGGUAAGAAUGAAUUCUUAAACUUGGAGUAUAACUUGAUAAUCUUGAUGCAGAUGGUCAAUAAUAUAACGAUCCUACCCAGCAAAUUCUACCAGCUCAAGUACUUGGAUAUUUGUGUUCCUGGACAGUACUUUGUUCCAGACUAUGAUUUUUUUUCUCUGGCUUCUUUUCUUGAUGCUUCUCCUUCCUUGGAGACUUUCAUCUUGGAUUUUAAUGUACGUAUAAUUUUUCAUAUUGCAAUUAACAAGUAUACCUAGUGAGUAGUGACUAAUGGAUCGACCUGAAUACCAUGCAUUCUGUCUUUAGUUACGUAGGGUCUUUGCGGAUCCUGAGUCAGUUCUUGGAGAACUCUCACAAUCACAUAUGCGCCAGACGGCAGAGCACCACUACGGCAACCUCAAGAGGGUGAAGAUCAACCGUUUCCACCCCGCGAGAAGCCUGGUUGAACUAACAUGUCAUAUUCUUGAGAGUGCGGCAUCGCUUCAAUGCCUUACAUUGGACACGAAAUGCUGUUGUUCUGGGGUUUCUCACAGCAAAUCUGGUAAAUGCUUCAUCUUCGCUGUCAGAGCAUACAUCGAGGGGAAUUUUCCCUCGACGACUAGGCUAGACUUUCCGAAGCCUUGUACUUUAGAUGUCAAGUUAUCAUUGCCAUCCAAUGUUUAGUGAGGUCUCUGAUUAUUAAAUCACUAUGACCAUUUAAGUUUAGAAGGCUUAUUAUCUGCUGAUCUGCACCUCAUAGGUGGCUGCGUCUUUGUUUGGUUUGGCUUCGGCUGUUCGGCAGUGUACGCACUACCUGCAUGCCUGCAGUAGGUGUCUUUUUUUUUCUGUUUUUUUUUUCCGGGAUUGGACAUCACAAGAAAGUACUCCAACGCCCGCUCCACUUGUAUUUCUUUUUUUCCCCUUUGAAGGACCAUUGUAUCUUCUUUGAUCAGAUUGCUCAUUUGUUCUAUGUUGGAGAGUAAAAAGGAAUUAUUGGUGUAAGGAUAAGGAUCCUCCAUGCUUCUACGGAUGCCGUGCAUCAUGCGUGUAUUAUGUAAACUUUAGUAUCCCUGUCCGUUUCGCCAAUAAGCCAAAUUAAAAAGUAUUGUUCGCUGAUUUAUUAUGAGACUGAUAAGUUUAAUUCAUAACUUCAACAUCUCUGCAUAAUGGGUCUAUGAGUCUUUUUUUCACAAGGAUCUGUGUACAUGUUUUUGUAAUAAAUCGUGGGUAUAUUUCUAAAAUGUUUUUUUCUUAAAAAAACAAAUCUGAAAUCCAUAUAAAGCUAAUAUAUGAGUGUAAAAAGGAACGGAGGGACUCGUUAUUCACUCUAAUCUAUAAUUUAUAUAUGAUAAAACUAUAAGGGUUUUUUUGAAAUAAAUAGUUAAAAAUAGUAAUAUUUAAUUUAGGACAAAAACAAACAUGACGUGUAAAAAAAACAGGAGUAUGAGAUUGCCGUCGGUAUAGAAUCCGAAUGCACAUCAUAGCGAGAAAGCGUCUUGAUGUUGUUACGCUAACACCAUAGCGCAAUCGCAGUUUGAUGCAAUCCCGUUUUUGCCUUUGUUUCACGUGCGAAACUCGCAGGUGACGCCUAUGUCUAGACUCACUGGCCACACCGCACGCCGGCAGGGCCGCACCGCACCGCACCGCACGCGAGUUGGUCCGCCUCACUCGCCCCCUUCCUCUGCACCGGGUUUCCACCUCGGCACCUCCUCAGAUCCAAAACCAGUGAGCGACAGAGAUCAAGGAUGGAGCUGGAGGUGGGGGCGCCUUCGCCGGCGAGGUACCUGGUGGGGGCAGCGAUCAUGAUGGCCGGCGUGGUGCUCCCGCUGGCGUACAUGAUCUUCCGCAGCAAGCGCUCGCCGUCCUCCGCCUCCGCCGCGGGGCCCUCCUCCUUCUCCAAGCAGACGUAGGUGUGCUCUGCCUCUCUUCCUUCCUUCCUUCCUUCCUUCCUUCCUUCCUUCCUCCGUGAGAUACUGGAGAUACCGUCGACGCACCAGAUCUGCGCGCUCGCUUUAAACUGAUCCGUGAUGCGCCUUUGCUGCAGGAACAAGGGGCUCAUCUGAGCGAGUGGGUGGGUGGGUGGAUCGAUCGCCUCCCCUGAUGCUUGUCAUUCUGUCUGUUUUGGCGUGGCGAGAUCAUGCAACUGCUCCUCGAGACUGGGCACCAUCACAUCAAGUUACUAGCUGAUUAGUAGUUAGUUCCUCUUGUACCUUGUGUAGAUCAGAUCGAUUGCUUGUUUGACUGAAUUGAUACAGUUAUAAAUGAUGGUUUUACUUUUGAGUGCACUACUUACAAGGAGCAUUCAAACAAACUCCAGUUUAGCUAAACAAGCCACCUGCCCUCUUCUGCUGGUUUAGCUGGCUUAUUACGACAAUUGUGUAUAAUUCUUCUCUAUGCUAGUACUCCCUCAAUUCCAAAAUAUAAUUCGUUUUAGUUUUGUCUAAGUUAAACUUCUCUAACUAAGACCAAGUUUAUACAACAUCAAAUUGGUAUUGCCAAGACCACAAGGAAAUAUGUAUUGCCAGUGUAUUUAUUUGGUAUUGUAGACGUUAAUAUAUUUUCUAUAGACUUGGCCACGAUUAGAGAAUUUUGACUUAGGACAGAAAACUGGCCUAUGUUUUGUAAUAGAGGGAGUACUAUAUAUUUGUGGUUUGAUAAGGAGCACAAUUGUUGUGCCAUUCAUCCAUUUGCAUCCUCAGCUAUUCAGCACAUGCAGCUGUAGAUGGAUGCAAACCAAAUGGUGUCCAUGAUCAGUUUUUUGAAGGUGAAGUUCCUGCAUUGGCAGAUCUAGCAGCACUGGAAUCGCAUUCGGGCACUGAUCUUGCCCUUCUGUGUAGUUCUGAUUCCUAUGCGAUCUUUUCUUUAUGGCUUCUCUCUUCAGAGUUCGAUUUGCUGUCUCCAGUCCCCUUCUCUAUUCUAUUCUAACGAAGCUCCUUCCAGGAGCUCACACAUACAUUGUUGCUAACUAGUUUGUUAUCUGAUAAUCCAUGUGACUGGAUGUGCCCUUUGUGUUUGUGUUCUUACAAGUUGGCUCUUAACAAUAGAGUUGUUUGUAUUCCUGCACAUAAGGUAGGCAGAGUAAACAAAUCAGUGUGCUGCCCCAGAAAAAUCAGCUUGGUUGAUAUUAUUGUACUUUGUAGUUUUGUUAUUGGCUAACCUAUAUGAUAACCAUGAUGCAUUGCAUUUGCACUUCAGAUGGAUUGAUUGUUUCUUGGCCACUUGAAGGGCUUGCCUUGUGGCUUGUGAUCAAGAUGGUAAUUCUCAUGGAGGCAACUGGAUAUUCAGGGCCCACCCUUCUUCAGGUAGGUAUAAAUGCAAAAGAGUGGCUGCAAGUAAUAUCAUCAUAAUAAACUAGUUAACUACUGUUAUGGCACUAGUUUUGGUUGUGGGAUACAAUAUUUUGGAUGGCACUUUAACACAUUUGUCCCUUGAUAUUGCACAAGAAGCUUAUAUGGGCAUAUGCAUGCCAUAAACUUGUGAGAAUAGCGGCACCUAUUUGUUUUAAAGAGUUUUGACUAAGGAAUAGUGAUACCUUUAGUUGUCUCUUUACACAAUGUGUAUUAAGGCAUCUGCAUCAAAGAAACUUGCUUCAUGACAGGCAAUCUUGGUCACUUCCUUAAGUUUGUGGCACCCUUUGAAUCUUGUUUUCUCAUGGUGCAUCCUCUGCCGCUUAAAUCCUCAAACAUUUGAAUGACAGAGAAAGUACAAAAGCUAGACUUGUAGGGUGUGUUCGCACAGCAGCUCUCGCUAUCGCUAUAAUACCCCGUAGUUCACAAGCUGCAUAGCCACAGCUGCCAAGAAUAGUUACAUGGUUUCAGAACCCCAGAACCUUUUAGGGUGUAUUUGGUUGGGCUGUGACUUUUGGAAAAGCUACUGUGAGCUUUGAGCUUUUGAAAAGCUGCUGUGGGAUGUGGGCUUUGAGAAACCCAAAAGUCAUUUGGUUGAUCACUUGUGCCUUUUGGAAAAAAAAACUGAACGGAUCCCAAAAGUCAGUGAAAGCAGGGGGUGAGGUGCUUUUGGAUUUGUACUACGAGAAAAGUUGCUUUUGGGCAAAAGCACUUGUGGCUUUUGGGCCCUUUGGUUGGCUUUUGGCUUUUACAAAAGCAAAAGCAGGUUCAAAAGCCCAACCAAAGGGACCCUUAGAAAUGUCAGAAGGAAAGUUAGGCCCUGUUUAGGCCUUGUUUAGUUCUAAAAUUUUUGGCAAAAUGAGCACUGUAGCAGUUUCGUUUGUAUUUGACAAAUAUUGUCCAAUCAUGGACUAACUAGGCUCAAAAGAUUCGUCUCGUCAAUUUCGACCAAACUGUGCAAUUAGUUUUUAUUUUUAUCUAUAUUUAAUACUUCAUGCAUACAUCUAAAGAUUCGAUGUGACGGGGAAUCUGAAAAAUUUUGCAAAAUUUUUGGGGAACUAAACAAGGCCUUAGUUCCUCGUCCAAAAAUUUUUCAUCCAUCCCAUCGAAUCUUUGGACACAUGUAUGGAACAUUAAAUGUAGAUAAAAAAAUAAACUAAUUACACAGUUUAGUUGAGAAUCGCGAGACGAAUCUUUUAAGCCUAGUUACUCCAUGAUUAGCCUUAAGUGCUACAGUAACCCACAUAUGCUAAUGACAGAUUAAUUAUGCUUAAUAAAUUUGUCUUGCAGUUUCCUGACGAGCUAUGUAAUUUGUUUUUUUAUUAGUUUCUAAAAACCCCACCCGACAUCCUUCCGACAUAUCCGACGUGACACGCAAAAAAUUUUCGUUUCCAAUCUAAACAGGCCCUUACAAGACAUUGUUUGGCGUGGUGAAAAAAAAAGGUUUCGUGCAAUAGAAACAAAUUAACAUCAAGCCUAUUGAGAUAUGCAUAUCUAUGACCUUUAUGUAUUCGUGUAUUUGUAGGCUCCACCAGACUGCAAGGCCAAAUAAUCAGUCAGACUCGGGCAGUUGGGCAUGUUUAUCAGUUUAGAUUUGUUUGUCUUUUACUUGACUAAAGAUGCAUUGCUUUGAGAUUAAUCUUUUUUUUCCAAAAAAAAUGGAAUAUUGAAUCAAACACUGUCCAUUCUGAAGUUGACAUACCCUUGUUGACGGAUCUGGUUCAGAUGCCAGAACAAUGCCAUGACAUACUCGAGUGCUGGAGCGCGUCAAGAACUCAAGAUCACUGGUUUCUCCCUGAGUAAGUCAUGAGUAAGUGAGAAGUGCCUGCUGAAGAGCAUGACGUGUCCUUGAGUCUUGACUCUGAGACUGCAACAUGCCAACAUCACUCGAAGUCGAAGAGGCAGGGCACCUCCUGGUCACAUAACACUGAUGGAGAGACAAAAAUUUCCUACUCAAGUAUGAUGAUCCUCAGUAUACCCAUUGCAUUUGCAUUCCAAUGCAUUUCCUACCCCUGUAAUUAAGGAUGGAGAUGGCCCUUUAAAUGGAUACCCGCGGUUCUUCUCUAGUGUAAGUUAAUGAACUAAAUAGACAAUUUCUUUCCUCUUUUUUUCAUUUAGUUCAUUUAGUUACAUUAGGGAAGAACCGCGGUUACCCGUUUGGAGCACCGUCCCCAUCCUUACAUGUAAUGCAGCUAGGGCACAUUGUGUUUGGUCACGCAGAUACAGCACCUGAGAUAAAAUGCUGCUUUUAUAUGUUCCUAUAAUCCUUCCUUUUCCGUGUUCUGGUUGAAGUCACACUAGCUUCUACAGGUUCCAUCAUCAAACGUUUAUCCCAUUGUUGUGCCUGCAGGAAGUCUUGUGCCAUAGAUAUUCUCUAUUGCCACUUAGAAUUGUUUGGAUGUUAUUGGAUUUACCAUAAUCCACAUGUAUUAGGGUGAAAUGUCUUGAUUAUCACUUAGGUCUAUUUGAAUAUUAUCGGAUUCACCACAGUUCACAUGUGUUAGGGUGGAAUGAGAUGGAAUUUAGUUCAACUUACACAAUAGUUUACCCC